rnacentral:lncRNA from 1 species
CAUAUGGGUUUUCUUAUAGAUUUACACGAGAAGGAUUUCUAUGAUAUGCAUGAUUUCCUAGUGUUGGACUCAGUUUCUGUUGGUUCAAACAGUGAAGACGGUAUCAGUGCUGGUCAUAUUGUUAAUCCAUUUAACGACAACAGCAAUGAAACCUGUCAAUCAGAUUUACUAGGUUCCAAUACCUAGAAGGGGUCCUAUUGUCAAAACACAUUAUGUAGCAUUUCGGAAACCCGUGAUUUUACUGAGGGAACCAAGCAGGGUCUGGCUUGUAGCACAGCUUUCAUGGGCGAAUGGUUGCACAAGGCAAGAGGGGUAAGCAGUGUAAAUCUAUUCAUGGGAGUUAAAGUACUUGCAAACUUGGACGUAUAAGGAACUUGCAUAUUUGAAUGGGAACAGAGAACAGUCAUUCUGUUUGGCAAAGGGUUCAGAAGAAUGUUGUAGAGAAAUGCAACACUGAGUUGAAUAGAACAAAUCCCAUUUGCUGCUCACAGUUUGAUGUUACUUUAAAAGAUGAUCCAUUGCUGAAAAGAAACUUCAAAACCAGAAAAAAGCAGACAUUCCAGGAAGGAGUCUCAUCCCAACAAGGUAAACUUAAAUGCUUAUGCAAAGACUAGCAUGCCAAAAAGAGAAAUAUUAGAUGUUUGAACUUCUCUGGAUGACCAUGGAGUAAUUUAAAAUCUUUCAAGGUCUUGUUCCCACCUUGGUUCCCAGCUUGGUUUUGAGAAGGUUCAGACCAUGAAAUCUAAAUCAGUUAACGACUUUCAAGUUGGUCCAAGCAACAUGGAACCAUGUGAUAAUGAGAUGUUCGUAAAUAUAUUAACAAAUUUGAUAUCAAUGGACCCAACUAAUAGUCAAACCAAAUUACAUUGCAUUCACCCGUCAGCAAGGCAACAAUAAAGGACCAACAAAUUAUUUUUUUUUUAAGUGAAUCAAAGAAAACCUUAUCAUGAUUCAAUAAGAAACAUACCCUCAAGAAUCUCUUGAAUGAUAUGCUAAGAAAGAAUUCCAAGAAACUUUACAUCAACAUUAAGAUAAACUCAACAUAAAACAUUUAUACAUGCUAUUAACUGCUGCGAAAAAAAUAGGUCAAAACUGAACCAUUUUUUUUUACAUUUUAUUCACAAAUCAAUAAAUCGAAAGUGCUUACAAUAGUGUAAUCUUUUAAUAGAAUAUUAUACUUUUAAUUUUAAUGAUCAUAGUUCAACCCUUUGUAAUCUCAAAUACCAGAAAAAAAAAUAUUAAAAUUAAGUAAAUACAUUAAUUUAUUGGAAUACAAGGAUAAAGAAAAGUUAAUUAAAAAUCAACCAACCAUAAUUUUAUUAAACUAAAUAACAAAUUAAAGAAAAAAAAAAGAAAGAAAACAACUACAUAAUAAUUUUUUUUCUAAAAAGAAAAAUUAAAUCUUAGGAGUUAUUUGUCAUUGGUAACAUACUCCAAUAAUGAGAUGAUUUUCGACGACUGACUAUGGGACAAGGCAAAGAUGUUGUAACACUUCGAUCUUCCAAAUCAUAGACAUAAAGGUUUCUAUCUUCAUACUGAGUAUAGUAAAUAGAGUUUCUUCUUAUAUCAGAUUCUUUUGCUACUGAGUAACAUGAGCCGUAACAUUGAUCUGUGAGGAAAAUUACAUUAUUUCCAAUGCUUUUCACUUCAAUCCAUUCCGAUUUAUAGAAAUCAAACCUAAAAACUUCAAAGUAUGAAGCCCAUUCACACAAUCUUGGAGAGUAAAUCUUGCAAACAAGUAGCAUCUCUCCAAAAAACUCAACCAAAUAGUUUUUGCGUUGAAUGGUAAAAUUAAACAGUUUGGAUUCUGUUUGGACAGUUAAUUUUGUAAAUCGAAGACUUGAUCCUUCAAACUCGAUUGUAAGCAAACAAUAUUCUGAAGAAAUACAAUAAAUCUUUCCUCCAAAUGUUGUCACACUGAUCACAUCACUGUCUUCUAACUUUUGUUUUGAAAAUUCACAAUCAUCAAGAGAACAAAAUAUAAAUUCAUCCUCUACGAGAUUGAAGAAAAGGAUGCGACAAUUUGGAUCACUUGGAAGUGCCGUGAGAAUGCACGUAUCGAAUUUCUUAUUGAAAAGAGGAAGUUGAAUUGUCUCCAUCGAAAUGAGAUUUAAAAGAGAACAAUCAAAUGAGACAAGAUCCAAUAAUACUAACCAUCCAAAGGAAGAGCAACAUGCUUGUUUAUUAAGGAAUGAUUUUAGUGUAAUACCGAUAUUGUGAUAUGCUGAAAAAGGUUUGCCUUUGAUCAAACUCUCCAUGACAUAUAACAAGCCAAGGGUAAGGUUGAGAUAUGCGGGGAGGAAGAGAAUAUGGCGGUCGUUCAUUAUCAACCUCAAUUAUUGCUUCCAUGUUCAUAAAACCCAACUGGCAAGGUUUGUCCACUUGUUGCUCUUUGGAUGGUAUCAAAUCUUUGUUUUCCAUACUUACUGUGACAUUUACGAAAAAUGAGAAAUUAAUUAAUUUAUUUAUUUUUUACAAGGACAGCAAAAAUUGAGAAAUUAACAAAAAAGCCCUAAACCCUAAAAACCAUAAACCCUAAACUCUAAACCCAAAAUUAUACCAAGCAUAAACUUCUAAAGAAACAUAAAAACGAGAUAUAAGUUUUGUUUUCUUCUUUUAUUAAUUGAGAUGAAAGAAGAAUAACAUUAAUUCCACUUCCCAACAUUGUAAAUCAAGCACAAAAAAAAAAAGGGUUGAUAGUGAUCAUACCUAAUAAAUAAGAAGAUAUAUAAUAAAUAGCUUUUCUUCUUAAAAAUAGAAUAGCGUCAAUGUCUCCUUUGCUCUCUUAAUUAAUUCCACUCAUCAAUAUAAUAAAGAGCAGUAGCAGUAGGUAUUAUUAAUAUAUAUAUAUAUAUAUAUAUAAGGUUAUGUAAGUAUGUGAGGUUAUUAUUGGAAUUUUGACAGCUAAUUAGAAUUCUUUUUGGAUUUAAAUUUGUAAUUACUGUAGAAAUAAGUAUAACACUUUUGUCUCUAGCUAGCUCCUCUAGUUGAAAGAGAAUUCCCCUUUCCUUAUCUGUCAUCAACUGACUUAUGAGCUACCAAGGUUAGCCUUCUAUUCAUAGUAUUACUUUAAUGUCUACUUGCGAUGCUUACGUUAAAUUACCUACGGUAAUUUACUGAGUUAUAACAAUUAAUUACUUGUAAAUCCACGGUAAUAUAAGGAGUUCUAACAUAUAUACUUUAGUUUUUGUCCGAGGCUCCAAAUCCGUAGAUUCAGAAGGAGCCUUUCCACCUUUGAAAGAUGGGAAUCAACUCACAUCUGUCUUAGCUUUAUUAAUUGUAAGCUAAAGAUAUUCCUUUUCUUAUUAGGAUUAAUAUAAUUAUGAUUAACAUAACAAUUACAUUUAUUAGUUUUUUAAAUUAAUUAUUACAUUAGAACUUUUUGAAAUUAAUUAAUAACAGCAAAGUUUGAUAUUUAAAACUCCAAUAAGUGAACAGCUUCUUCCAGCAUUACCUGGCAGUUUAUUUGAACUCUCAUGGUAGAAACCUAUUCAGCCAAUUUCAUAACAUGUAUAAUACAAGAUCCAUUAUUUAGAGCAAAGUCUCACUAAGUCGGAAAAUUUGAUGCAGUACUUUGCCAAAGAAGUAUGGAGGAUGCUAAAAAUUCAAAGAACCACAUAGAUAAGAAUUUACAGUGAAGAGCAUGAGAUACAACAAUAUAUAACCAAGCUUCUUUGAAGCUAUAAGAAUUUAAUAGGUGAGACGGGCAAUAAAGAUGUCUAAUCUCCUGUCAUAUGAAUCCCAAAUUUUCUCAAACACGUGCAUUGACUUAUAGGGGUAGUUACAGUUUUUGAACUCUUCUUAGGUCCAACAUCGCUAUAGCACAGAAAUACUCAUACAUGACUGAAAUUCAUAAGGAAAUACAGCUUAAUACAGUUAAUGAUCUAUUUUAAACUUUUACAUUGGAAUUCUGGUGAAAAAUUGAUAUUAACAAACCAUCCAGAUCACAAACUUUCAAAUGUUCUUAAACUCACUUUAAGAGAUUUAGUCAAUAAGAUAUUAGUUCUCACAAAUAAUUUUCCACCUACUGUCGAGGGUGGAAUAUUCAAAGGUAGAAACUUAUUACAUAUUAGCUGGGCAUAUAUGAUGCAGCAUGUUAUAUGCAUGUUUGGCCUAUAUUUGCAGGGCUAAUGUAGAUAUACCAUUUCUGCAAUAAAUCAAUGAAUAAUUGCAAAAUAUUACCUGAUAGCCACUGGACUUUGGGUUAACAAUGAAAUCAUCAAAUUCACCGUCAAUUGGAGUCCAAAGCCUGCAGAGAAAGAUGGGUGAUGUGACUCAUAAUAGUUUCUUUUAAAAAAGAAAUUCAGCAUGUUUGAGAAGUAUGGCUUUAUGAAUUCUGGUAAAAUUGAGAACUUAUACAUUCCUAUUAAAUAAGGCUACCACAGGCCAAAGAAAUUAUCCACAAAAAUAAACCUAUAAAGAAAGUAAAAACAUCUAUUUUUGUUUCUUCUACUACACAUACUUUUCUAUAAAAUACGAUGCAUCAACUAAAAGUAAUUCCAAAAAUCCAUGCUAAAGAUUGAGAAGAUCUAUGAAAUGAACAGAAGAAACACUUUGAAAUACCUGCAUACAAUGUUGAGAAACUGUAGCAACAUUAAACUGCAGGACCAUUUAGGGUUCCGUUCUUGUCUCCAAAAACUACCCUCAGUGCACAUGCAUCAUAUAUUUUAUUGAUUCCAACAUCUUUCCUUUUCAUCUACAGCAAGAUAAGAACAAGAACUUCAUUAUCAGCAGGACAUUGUAAAGGCUUUCCCAACAAAAUAAAGGUCAGCUUGCUUGCUUAUUUUUUACUAAAAGAUUUUAGAAUCACAUUUUAAUUUUGGCUUGACUGAUAUUGCGUCUUCUAAAAGUCUAAGUUAAAUGCUUCAAGGAUACAAUGCAACAAAAGGAUUUUCAGUACAGAAAAUCUCUUAUAUGGAUCUGGCAUGUUGAUAAAUUUUCAGCCGUACAUUAGAAUUCAAGUUCAUGGUUGAUUCUUAGAUGUCUCUUUGAAACAUGUAGUGAAAUUAACUCUACUACAGCUGCAAGCUGCAGUUACAAAAUAAUCACUGUCGUAUACCUUCACAGUACUGUUAAUUAUGCAUGGAGACCAAGAAGAAUUUUGAACAAUGGCAAAGGAAGGGGCUUUGACUGCAUUUGGCUCUAACAACACGCACAAUUAUAAUAUUUUACAGCUAAGAAGCUAAGCAUCCAAAAGUUGAUACACAUACAUUAAUUGUUACUCAUACCUUGCUGUAGAUACCAUACAAAGUACAAGCAGUUUAAUCAGCUAGAUAAAGUAACCUCCAUCCCUGGAACAUAACUGCAGUGCAAAAGAGGAGAGGAUGAGAAAGCACCAACAAGAUGUGACCAAACUAACAAUAGUUGCUCUUACAAGUACAGGAGUUAAAACUAAUAAAUAAAACCAAAAUAGUUUUAAUAGAAAUAAGCAGCAGCAACUGAUUAUAAGUGAGCAAAACAUACGAAAUUGAUAUGAACGGCUCCCUCUCAAGUGCCUCCUUGCAAAGAAGAGAUGCCAGCACAAUUCCAGCAUCCUGCACAACCUUAAGUUUUGGUUCCAUCUCUGAACUUCUUCCAAGAUUAUCAAGAAAAUUGGUAUGUUUUCUCCGAUCCAAUAAGAUGUCAAAAUGAACCACUGCAUCCAAAAGAUCCUGCUUAUAUAAAACAACUGGAACUAAUUACUCAAAUUUAAGGUUUCUGUUGAAUACUACAUUUAAAACUUGUUUAUCUGCCUACUGACCCAAAAACCUCUAACCCUUUUGUUCUUCAGCAUACAUACUUCCAGAUAUGUGCACAUAUGUUGCCACAAUUAUUAUUACAUGGAUUAAAAAAGCUGGAAUUAUAUUUAGAGCUAAUCAGUGCAUCUAACUGAUAGGAAAUUAAGACUGUCUGGUACUCUUUUGAAAAGGAAAAUUCCUCAAAACUAAUCUCAUUUCAUAAUAUAAUAUAAUAUAAAAUAAUAAAGACUGUUUGGUACUCUCUUGAAAAGGAAAAUUCCUCAAAACUAAUCUCAUUUCAUAAUAUAAUAUAAUGAGAGUAGGGGGUGGAUCCUACUCAGUUAUGACCUUUUUAACUUGGAAUUUCUUUCAUUAUUGUCCUAUUAUUUUCAAGAAGGCUAAACCAUGAAAGCCAAUUUGCUUCUCGAAUUUUAUUUGAAGAAACAAAAGGCUUCAAAAAUAGUCAAGGAAGAGCAUGAACCACUUCAAAAUCUGACAGAAAUAACAGUAACUACAGAUUGCAACCAUCACAUGGUAUUUGACAUGCCUAGUUUGGAUAGAAAUUCAUUACACCAGAAUAAAACUCUUGCACUACAUUCAUUGACCAAAUGUCUUUUACUAAAGAAUUGAAGCAAGCUAUGUUGUUCAGUGGUCAAUAUGCACUCCUAUAUAAUUACAAUGUAAGUUAAGACAUCUUCCAAGAUCAUGUGUUGAAGGUGCCCAAUGACAGCAUAUUAGGUGAUUUUUUUAUUAACACUAUCCAAGGUUCACUAGGAAGAAAACUUGUAUUUAGUCUAUUAAAGGAAGGCUGAAGUGACCUGUCUUCCUGAAAUUUUUCAUCCCUUGUUAAUUUUCUGGCAGGAAGGCAGGAUUUCUCAACAUUAUUCAUUAAAACUUUCUGAUAUUAGCAAGUAGUCAUUAAAAUUGGCAAAAUCCUAAUACAUCAAAGCAACCCUCAAACCAACCAAAAAGAAUAUAACUAGAAUAUAGACACAGCACCAUUUGUCCGAUAUACUUACCUUUAUGAUAUUAAUAUCUUCAUCACUCAUAGAAGCUUCAUCUUCAUGCGCUGAAUUGUUUUCCUGUACAGAAGACCCCCUGGCUUUUGCAGAUAUUCGUCUGGGAUAUCCUCCUUUAUUUCUGGGGUUCCACAUUGAGGUCAGAUAAGCUCGUAGCUUCCUAAAUAUUUGAGGCUGCACCACUGCCCUCAAAAUUGAAACAAAUGUGGUUACAAAAUUUAUUUGAUAUACAUAAUCCAAAAGGAUUCACAUUUUUAGAAGUUAGAUGCUAUAAUACCUGCUGAGCAAAAGAAAAAGAAGCUAUUCUAUCUGUCAGAAAAGAAUUUUAAGUCAUGAAAUUGAUUACCAUAACACUAUGGCAUACGGUUCAAACAUAAUCAAACUUUGUCCCUUUUUUUCUCAUUCUAUAUCUUUGACCAUCUUAAACAUGCUAUAUGCAAUAUUUAUAUGCUUAAUGGCAAAUUCAUCCAAAGUGUGCAGAUAGCAUGGACCUAAAAGUCAAUGCAAAUUAUUGUUGUUCCUACAUGAAUCUAAAAGGUGAUAAAAGGUAUCUGAUGCAUAGCUAUCAAGAACUUUGUAACCACAGUUUCAUAUAGCAAAGCCCGAUUAUGAACAUAGAACCCAUACUCUAACUGACCUUAAACCAUAAGUGUUAGGAACCAGAUUUUAAGUAUUAAUUUUUUUGGCUACAUUUGCAAAAAGAGAAAUAUAUUUCUCAUUGAACAAAUCAGGUGAAAAUUCCACGAUUGAUGUCCCAAUUUAAAAACUCAUGCACAAUGUGUGUCCCACUUUCAGAUAAAUUAGUUUAGCUACACAAUUUAAAAAAAAAAAAAAAAAAAAAAAAAAAAAGACAAACAGAGAGAAAGAGAGCAGUUGCUCUAGCAUUUAGGGAUUAUGAGUAUAAUACCACGAAAAGCUCUAAUAUCAUAUUAAACAUCCAACCUAAAUCCUAUUGGCAAUUAGUUGAGAAGACAAAAUACACCCUAAACUUAACUAUAAUACCACUUAAAAAUAACAUUACCAAACUCAAUGGAUACAAGGUGCCUAAAUGAAAAAUGUGUCCCAAUCAAAUAGAGUUAAUAAAGCUCAAACUACAUGAUGAAUAAAGUAAAUGACAUAUGUAGCGUAAAAUCAUCAAGUACAACUAAUAUUAUUCAUGAUGUUAUGAUAUAUGCUAUUGCAACUUCCAUGACCUUGAAACACACUCCUUUACCUGAAGAACAGCAAAGCAAAGAUCUUUCAGCUCUGCUUUCAGUGCCCGCAGACCCAAUCUAGAAGCUAGGGAACACCAAAAAAGUAAGGUUUCUUGUGCAACAGCCUAAGCCUUAGCGAGGGGCAGGGCAUAACUGUAAAGAAUGAUCACCCCUUUGAGUGCAGUUCAUACAUCAAUACCAUAAAGAUUAACCUUCAAACCAUUGAACCAUAAAUUUUAAGAAUUAUAGCACCUCGGAUUUUGUUAUAAAUUUUUCAGAGCUUGACACACUGUGAAGUAAUCUGUCCUUAUACAUAUGUUCAAUGGAUGGAGAAAUACAGUAUGUCGAUAAUGCAAGAUUCCUAAACGGUUUAGAAAUUUAGAAUUUAAAAGAUACAAAUAAAGGGAUUAACAAUUUUUUCCAUUUCAAUGAAUAGUUAUGUGAUAUAUACAAGGAGUCCAAGGGGAGUAAUGACUCCAAACCUUGGACCUUGAGCCUCUUAUGGAGGGAUCAUAACAGCUAGGCCAAGCCUUGGUUUGUCUAUCCAAUGAAUUAAUGAAAAUUAAAAACAAACAGAAAUCUUGUUUUCUGCAUAUAUUAAUAAUCUAAUAGAAUAAAUUUUGAAGGCUUACAUGUUCUCAUGAUGUAAGAUAGCUGCCAGCCUUUGAUAAGCGCCACACGGGAUAUAAAAAUUCCCAAGAGCAUGACUCAAGAUAGUUUGCCUAAAAUAAUAAGAAAAGAAGGUGAAUUAGAACACAGACAGCUCUAAUCAGUGUUUUCACACACUUUACAACUAAACCUAAUUAAUUUAUUUAUCUAUCCCCCUAUAUUACAGUGUCCCACCCAUGCAGAUCUUUGAGAAAAUGUCAUUCUCACCACACAUAUGCAUUGAGAUAAAUCUUGAAGAUGACCACAAGAACAAGAAGAGUGCUUUGAACUAUAGAACUUGACAUGCCCUUAGGAAAGAAUCAACACAAUUGCUACCAAGACCCUUAUAUGAUAUCACAGUGAACCUUCGAUCCCAGCAAGAUGCAUUUUCUACAGUUCUGUUUUCCCUUUCCUUUACAUAUUAAAAUAACUUCUUGACCAAUCCAUUUUAAGUGUAAAACAAUACAGAUUUAAACAUUCACUGCAUGUCAGAGAAUGCACUCAAAACCAUUACAACUUACCUCCCAACCAGUAGCACUAAAAAGAAUUAAUCAUGCAUUGAAUAUGCUAUUUAGUUAUAUCAUAAGGAACCAUACAAUUGAUAUUUAGCUUAGCCUAUGUAAUGUGUACCCAUAUAAAUCAUGAAGUUUCACCUAUUGUUUAGCUUACGAAUCAGUUUCUAAAUUACAUCAACCACACUACAUUUUUUGUUGCAUGUAAAUUAUCUAACCAUGCACCUUUUCAUAACCAAGGGUACUCUGGUUAACAUUUAUCCUGCGAUGUUUCUGUAGAAACUACAAAACAAUAUAUUAGAUGAGUCACAUGACAACAUAAAUAUAGUGGGAGUGAUUAAAUAUCACUAUCAGAGGAUCCAAAACUAGAGCACAAUCAUGAAAAUGUAAAAAAAUAUUGUAAUAAACAGGCAUUCUAGCAUGCUAACAAGGGUAACAACACCAAAGAUGGCAAACAUGACACUAAGGUAGCAAGAAAACCAAUAAGAAGAAAGGGCAAGACUUUAUAAUUCAAACUUUCUACUUCUGACAGCAACAUCAUUAUGGUUUCCCUAUCAUUGCCAUCACUUUAUGAGACAAUAUUUUCCCAGACACACCAUAAUAGGUAUCAGAAGGAAAACCCUUUCUGUCUUUUUCUUGUUUUUAAUAAGGGAAAAGAAAUAAAUAAUGAUUACUUUCAAAACCCAAAUCAUAAGUUGUUUCUAGAUAUUUCACCGUAGUUCGAAAUUGAAAUAAAAAAAUCGAUAGGAAAAUAAACAUGCCUUAGUGAUGUUUAUGUUUUCUGGAGUUUUAAAUAUGGUGAAUGAGUUUAAUUACACGUAAUAGGAAUUUCUCGUGAAUGCCAUCUCCAAUUGCAGAAAUGAAAUAAUUUUCCAAAACUUCAUUCUUCAAUGCAAGAUGACUUAUAGCUGCAGAGUUGCUGGACCUUUUCCAGCUCAAUAAAAGAAUAUUUUAUUUAAAAAAAGAAAUUACAUGCUAUUUCCACCAACAUGAAACUUAUUUUCUUUACUUGUUCUGUUCUUUCUCCUUUAUUUUUUUCUAUUACAUUUUAAAACAUGCCCAAACAACCAACCGUGGAUUACACAACUGGAGUUAGCUUUCCCUAGACCAAGCACAUCACUAAUCACUAACGCAGGAAAAGGAGAAAGAAAAAACCCAUCCUCCUGAAAGGGCUACAAUACCAGUUAAGUAAAUUGCCGGUAUGCUUUCUGCUUACAAAUAUUUUUUUAAUGAAAAACCAAGAUUUAAGGAUGAGGACUCUACAGACAGAACCAAUUAAAAUGAAGACUUUACCUGAUUUAUAUAACUUAAUCUAGAAACACUAGCUACUGACCUGACCACCUCAUCACCAAACUCUGCUUCUAUGCUGAGCAAACUUUCACAUAUAUCAUCAACCAGAUCAUGCAGUAUCCCAGCCACAACUGUGUCAAUAGCUUGCACCAAACUUUAGGACCUUAGUUAGGGAAUUAACUGAAAGUGAAGCAAGUUUUUGAGCAACCUUGGCACUUUUGAGGGCUACCUUUUUUGGUAAUAAGAAGAAGAAUGCAAUUGACUGCGCAUAAUAUUACAAGAAAGUGAAUGGAUUAUUGAUUAGACAAAGCAAGCAGCAGGUUGUCAUUAUAAACUAUAAAGAGCAUAAAUUAUAGUCGUGCUCUUGCUAAUGAGGUAACAUCAAGAAUUAAUAAUUGAUGUAAGAGGGAGGAACACAAGGUUUCUAAUGAAAACUAUAUCCUUUUCAUUAUGCUUAACUAUUAUUCCAUAAUUUUGGGAUCAAAACCAGAGUCUUUUAGGCUCAAAAUACGUAAAUACACAAGCGUGAGAGGGAGAGCUUCCACUAAGAAAGAUGUUCUGAGUUUAGUUCUUACAUGGCAUGUUGCACAGGCUUCCAUGGCAUGGCAUGUCACAUCAACAUAUAGAAAGUUCUUAUUUUGUCCUGUUUGUGCCAUGUAAAUUCUAAUGUACUAAAGAUAAUGGAUUUUAAUAGUUUCCAUCAAAAUAAAGCACAAUUAAAAAAAUUAAUAAUAGAAGGAAAGGGGCUCAUUUAGAAAACUUGGAAAAGUACAAUUGCUUUUUUUUGGUAUUUUAGCCUAAAAGCUUUUGUAGUUCUAUGCACGUAAGAAAUAGAAAACUGAAAAGCAGUGCCUGCAAAAUAAAAUGAACAUCCAAAAAACCUAUACACCAACAAACAGGCUUGAAAACACGAAAUACAUUUAAAACGAAAAAGAUAACAUAGUAUGAGAUUAUGAGGAGGAUCUUAAUAGCCAGUCGUGAACAAAGCACACAUCUAGGAUUCCCCUAACCUAGAAUUGCAAAAAUAACUCCAAGUGGGUUGCCUAAAAUUGAAUGUAACAAAACAUUAUUUUUUCAAUCUAAAUUAUAAGAGCACAAAAUGAGGCAAAAACCGACAAAAGAAAAUGAUCCCAAAAAAAAAAAAGUAACAGAAAGGCACCUUGUUGCUCCUCCACUUUGGACCAUAAAAAGUCAACCUUAGUGAAGAGACAAGCUCCAGAGGCAAUAGCAAAGGCAAUAACAGCCACUUGGGAAAUGGCAGAAAUGACUGUCCCAUGGACAGUGGCACCAGAGCCAGAGGCAGCAGCAGCAGCGGCAGCAGCCAUGGUGUUACGGGAAGCAGAAACAGUGAAUUUCUUGGGCAUACACCUCAACUUAGAAGCAGUUUUGGGAUGGAAUUUGUGGAGAAAAAGAGGGGAAGUUUGGUGGGCAAGAAUCAUUUUCUUGGAAUGGAUAUGGGAUUGGCAUGAAGAAGAAGAAGAAUAGAGUGCACGUUAAGGAUUAAACAAAAAAAUAUAUAUCAAAUGUUUUACAUGGUUCUUUUGUUGUUGGGGGUAAAAUUGAGAUUGUAAAUGAUUUAAAGAAAAAGACUUAUUGAAUUAAAAAAAACAGUAUCGAUCAAAAUUAAUGAGUUAAAUUCAAGACAUUUCACUUAUUAAAUGCGUGCAGUAACUAAUUGAUCUAUAUGAGCUUCUUUUAUUAAAAUUUCUCUUUGUUGUUAAAAUUUUUAUUAAUUUAAAAAAAUUAAUGAGAUAUAAAAAUUUGUACCAAAAUUAAAAUAUUUUCUCCUUAACCAUUGGCACUUGUAACAUGAGAUUUUUACUAAAGUAAUUUUUAAUUAAUUUUUAAAAUUUUAUUCAUAAAACAUAUUUUACAGUGAUAUAUUUCUUUUCAAACUUUUUAAUGAGAUGAUGUUUUAUAAGAUAAAAAAAAGAGAAUUAUAUUCAUUUAUGCACUUUAUAAAAAAAUAACAACAUAGUAUGUUUUAUUGGUUUUUUAUUAUUUUUUUUGGUAUUGAAAUGCAGUUUCCUAUCAUAUAUAGUGUAUAGGGAGGUAGUUUCAAUAUUUCAACAUCGAUAUUAAAAAACUUAAUAAGUAAAUCAUUUGAUAAAAAAUAAAAACAACAAAUUAAAAGAUAUUUUUUGAAAGAAAAUUUUAUCAAUAUAUUAGAGAAUAUUUUUUAAAAUAAAUUAUUUUUUUUAAAUUAAAUUUUAAAUCUCCGAUAGUAGAACUAUUAAAAGCAUUGUAAAUAGUAAUAUUGAAGUAAAUCUUAAGUGAGAGGAUCUUUUCUAAAUUUUACCAAUAUAUUAAAAAUUUUGAAUGAAAAUUUUUUUAUACCAAAGUUCUAAACCUCAUUUUCAUAAAUAAAAGUUUUUAUAAGAAAAUCAAAAGAAUCCGAUAAUGGAAGCUUUUCAAAGUAAGACAUUAAUCUUCAUGAAUACUUUUAAGGUAAGAGAAUUAUCUUAAAUUGCUAUCAAACAUUGUAAUAAUUUUAUGAUUACUUUGCAAUAUUAAAUAUUUUGAUAAAUCAUAAAUAUAGUUAAGACUUGGAUAAUUUGAAAUUAAAUUAGAACCAUUUUUUGGAUGGACGUUGUAAGGGUGUUAUAACAUUUUUCAUACGUAAUCGUACUAUCGAACCUAAAAUAUGGUUUCGUAGACUAGACUCUGUUAUUUAAAGAUAUCUAAGUUAAUCUUGGGACUCCUUUUUAAAUGAAACAGAUUUAGUUAAGUGGCCAAUCACACCUAAAUAAAAUAAGAUUGGUGACGAUUUCUUUAAUUUAUGUCUAGAGAUAAGUCUACGGACUUAUACGUUACGAUAAUUUGACGACUCCACUGACGAAAUCGAGAGUCAGGCCAAUAAAUAAUUUCUUGUUAUCCAAGCCUUACCUAAUAAAUUUAAGAUUUUUUUCCUUAUUUGUAUUUUAUUUAUUUUUUUAUUUAUUCAUUGUAUAUAUUUAUCAUUCACAUACACAUGCAUAACAUGAGCUCUACACUGAGUUCUAUCCCUUAAGAGGGAAUAAAGUACCUAUGUCUUUGUGAGAUUUCGUGUUUUCGCAUGAGCAAGUGAAAAACUCCCACUCAAAUUGAAUCAUUUCCACUUGUAGCCUAUAAUUAGUGAAAAUUAGGGUGCCUUACUAGUCUAUAAUAGACAAUGAUGUAAGAAAUAAUUUGAGAACCCUUAGAUUGUCAAAUCUUUGAACCUAGUAUGUAAAUAAAUCUUAAGGGUUCGAACAUAAGUUAGAGUCAUGCCAUCCCUUAUGUUAGAAAAUCCUAAAUAGGACAUAUGAUGGGACAUUUAUUCUGUAUGUAAAUUUAUAUAUUUUCUUUGUAUUUGCAUGCUAACCCUUUAUGUUGUUUUUUGUGUAUAUUAUUCUUUGUAUAUAUCAUGUUUGUUAACCCUUUUCUUUUAUUAUAUAUGUAUGCAUUUACAUCAUUAAUUCUUCCUUAUUGAAUUCAUGCAUUUUUGUAUUCAACCUCAUGUAUAAUUGGAUAGUUCCAUAAACAUCACUCUAAAUAUGUACCCUAAUUAUGGUAAAUCAAGAUUCAAAGAUAGCUUAACUAACUCACCACCAGUAUAACACCUGAGUUAAUGGAGUAAGAAAAUGCAAGCUGCAUUGAGAACUUAGCAAAGGCUCAAUAAGAAAUCAAAAGGGAGUUGAACAAAAUCCUUGAAGAAUUAGCCAAGUUGAAUAAAAGAAAAACUAUAGAAAAAGAUGCUAAACCUAAUAACCAUCCGUUGCACGAUAUUAUUGAUCCUCUGUAUCCUGUCCACUUAAGGCAUUUUAUCAUAACAAUUCAUAUUUCUUACAAGGUUUACUUAUAUAAGAAUGCCAUAUGCAUAAAUUUAAGGGCAAUUUUAAAGUUUUGCUAAUCCUAUCUUUAUUGAAAAGGUAGUAGAGCUAGUCUCGAUCCUUAACUUAGAUGACCUUAAACAGAAUGAGAAGUUGAAAUUGAAGGUUGUUGAAAGUAUGAAAGAUUCUAAAAUUGAUUACAUGAUGAACAAUCACGAUGAAAGACUGUGAGCUAUGAAAGGCAUUGAUUUUUAUGAUUUUAUAGAUGUCGCUGGGCUUUAUCUAGUACCAAAUGUGAUGGUACCUCUAAAGUUUAAAGUACUUAACUUUGAGAAAUUUGAUGGUACCAAAUAUCUAAUCAAGCAUGUUACGAUGUACUAUCAUAAAAUGAUAGCCUACGUUAGUAAUGAGAGGUUAUUCAUACAUAUAUUCUAAGAUAGUUUAACUAGGUCUGUUGUAAGGUGAUAUGUUUAGUUGGACAAGAUUCGUACUUGAUCGUAGAAGCAUUUGACUCGCUCCUUCAUCAAUCAAUAUCGUCAUAUUAUAAAUAUGGCUCAUGAUCUUUUUUUUUUUACAAAGCACAGAGAAAAAUGUAAUAGAGUUUUCCAAAAAGUACACCUACCGGUGAAGGGAUAUGGCUUUUCAAGUUCAACCUCCUCUAACUGAGAAGGCAAUGAUAGUACUAUUUGUUAACUCUUUGAAAGCACCAUAUUAUAAGAAGAUGACAGGGAAUGCAAUAAAAAGUUUUACUAAUAUGGUGAUCUCAAAAAAAUUAUUAAAAAUAUCAUCAAGAGUGAUAAGUUUGAGGAAAGAGAAGCUAGCAGCAUUAAGAAAAGUGAGAUGCCUAAGAAAAAAGAAGAUAAAGCCCAAGCAAUGAGUUUUGAAAGGCAACAAUUCAAAGGUUAUACUCCAUAUCUACCACCUAUUUAUUUUGCUUACUAUUCUUCAAUCAAUAAUAUUGCACAACUUUUUACCAGCCUCAUUACCCAAUCAUGAAUAACAUCUACCCAAGCUUUUAUCAACUAGCCUUUCAAGCACCUGCAUAUGGGCCUAAUCUUAUCACUACAUCAAUUUCAAAACUUAAUAGUCAAGUAAGUGAUUUGGGGAGAUCCAAAGGCAACUAAAAGAGAGCAUGCAUUGAUUUUAUCUUUAUAACCUAUACUAAAUAAUUUCCAAAUUUGGACAAAAAUACUUAGUAUCCCCAAUUCUUUUAAAAUCAUUAAAGCUACCUUAUCCCAAAUGGUACAAUGUUAAUGUCAUAAGUGAUUAUCAUAAUAUGAAUGUGGGUUACUCUAUAGAAACUUGCCCUGCUUUCAAGUAUAAAAUACAAAGUUUGAUUCGAACAAUCCCUAUGAGCUUUAAUGAAUCAUGAGAACUGAAUGUUUACAAAGGCCCUUUUCCUGAUCACCCAGGGGUAUAAUUUUAGAAAAGCUUAUUGAAACUCGUUGUCUUUUUAGGAUUUUUUUAAAAUGAUGGACUUCUUUUUAUUAUACUUGAAUUUCAUUUUAUUUUUCAUCGUUUUAAUAAAAGUGGCAGAUAUGAUGCAUUUUCAUGACUUUUUUUUUGUGUGAAUCGUCAUUAUAAACUAUUUCUUUUUCAUAUCUUUUCCCUUGUUCAUUAUUUGAUACCAAAUAAUGAAUGUUCACAUAGUCAUAAGAAUAAUUCAAGAUUUGGUUUUUUAAAAUAUCAUUCAUGAUGAUGAUAUGAUUGAUAAAUUGAGGUUAUUGAUUUAUUGGGACUGUUGAAUAAAAAAAGAUAAAUUUGGUGAAGAAUUUCAUUUAUUGAGAGGUGAAAGUGAUGCAAUACAUGAUUUUUGAAAUAAUUUAUUCUUUACCUUUCACAAAAAGAAUAAAAUUAUCCUUUGCUUCCCUAUUUAAGCUUGUUAAAAUUUUCUUUCAAGGAACCUUAACCAAGGAUCAUCCCACAUUAGAAGCAAAGUUUAAGAAGCUUGAAAAGUUAAGAUCCUUAAUGAUUUUAGAGACAAAACCCUUUUAUGCUCAUCUUUCUAAAAAAAUGAUAAAAAGCACCUCAAAAAAAAGAUGAGAAAAAAGCAAAGAAGCAAAAAAAAAAAAAAAGAAGAGGGAACAAGAAAAAGAAAUUAAAAGGGUAAAAUAUUAAAAUGCUCUACAUGGAAAGAAAUGAUCAUUUGUUUGGUCACUCUUAAAAUACAUUUUAGGCUUAUUUUAUCAAUUUCUUUCUUGACCCUUUACUUUUACCUACGUCUCUGAAAAGUUUAUUUUAAUUGAAUAUGAAUACUCGAAUUGGCGAAUUAUGAAUUGAAUUAAUGUAGAUUUUCCAUUAGAUUGUUUAGGAUUUUGAUAAGAAGAAAAGAUAAAAAAAAAAAAACUUAAAAUGAAAACAAGAAAUGGUAGUUUAAGUAAAGAAAAAAAAAACUCAAGAAAACAGCUUUGUUAAAGGAUUCCAAGAAUAUGGAUGAUGAUUGGUUCAAAGAUUGAGAAUAUUGAUGGAAUGUAUUUUUGAGAAAAAACUUUAGGUUAGAGUUCAAGAUCCUCUGAACAAUCAUUAUUUUGGAUAUUCAUAUCCCAUUUAAAUAGCCAUAAUAUUUUGCUUUGUUUUUUAUUAGAUUUCCUUUUGAUAAUAAAUACUCAUUUUUCUUUUUUUUUUUUAUGAAGUUUGCAUCCUCUGAAUGAAUUGAGAAAAUGUAUCAUAUUUAUUAUAAAUUAGAAUGAUGAUAAAUAAGUGAAUAAUAAUGUCUGUAAAAUAUUUUUUUUUCAUUCUUUGGAAAGAAAUCUCAAAUGACAAAAGUGGAAGAAGCUUGACAAAAUGAUUUGAAAAGGACGAAUGAGGUAACCCAGUAAUUAAUACAAAUGAUGAAUUGAUCAACAUAAUCUGUAAGUUGUGACUAGAUGAGAAAAUGACAUAGAUCAGUUGAUAAAAUUUAUUUUGAAAUUAUUAAUGUUGGGAAACUAAGAAGGAAUAUAUGAAAUGGUGAAGUCUUAAGAAUCUUUUUACCAUAAUUGGAAUUUCAUGGCAUUGAUUUAGUGAUAUUUGCAUUACAUUUAUUGUGUUUACAUUGUAUUUAAAUAUUUGAUAAUUACAUUUGCAUCAUGCUUGGGGCAUGCAUUUGUAUUUUAUAGAAAACAUUUGAAUUAUAGUAUGACAUUUCUAUCAUUGUUUAAGACAUGCAUUUGCAUCAUUUGAUGAGAAUCUAGAUUGUUACAUUUACAACAUGUAGAAAACAUUUGCAUUAACAUUUAUUGCAUGCAAAAUUUGACUCUGAUUGGAGAUAAUUUUUUAUUUUUGAAUCUUUGAAAGAGAAAGAUCUUUCAUGAUAAGAUUUUUUUUUUUUUUACAAAGAAAAUUUUUUAGACUUUUUAAAUAUAUACCUUUUGUUUAAAAAAGCAUUUCAAAUAAGAAUCUUUGAAAUUAUAGAUGCUAAAAUUUUUUUUCAAAUAAGAAUCUUAAGGUGUGACGCCACAAAAAUUUUUUUUUUUAAAAAAAAAACCUUUUCGAACUUUGGUUGUGAAUCUUUAAUUUUUUGAAUGUGAAUCUUUGAAAUCAUUGGAUGUGAGUUUCUAAUUUUCUUUGAAAUCUUUGGAUGUAAAUCCUUAAAUUUUUUGAAUAAAAAUCUUUAACUUUUAAAUGUGAAUUUCUAAAAUUUUUUUAAUGUGAAAUUUUGAAAUUUUGGAUAUGAAUUUUUAAAUUUUUAAAGGGAAAAUCUUUAGCUUUUGGAUGUGAAACCCUAAACCUUGCAAAUGAGAAUCUUUGAAUUCUAACUAUGAACCUUGAAAUCUUUUAUGUAAAUCCAUGAAUUUUUUUAUGAAAUUUUAAAUCUUUUGAAUGUUAAUCUUUGAAUUUUAUUUGUGAAAUACAGUUUAUGAAUCCUUACAAAUUUGAAAUUCUUGCGAAUAUGAAGUUUUUAUGAAUCUUUCAUCUGAAGUUCUUGAAAACCUAAAAGUUUUGUGAUUUUUUUAUUUCUUGCGAAUCUUAAAUUCUUGUGAAUUUGAAAUCCUCGCGAAUCUAUCAAUUCUUGUUAAUUUGAAACUCUUACGAAUUCUUGUGAACCUAAAUCUUUUGAGAAUUUUUGUAACUCUUGUGAAACUUAAAUUCUUGCAAGCCUUAAAUUCUUGUGAGCUUUAGCAAGCCUUAAAUUCUUGUGAGUCUUAAAUUCUUAUGAAAUUGAAAUUCUUGUGAAACUUGGGCUCAAUUGGGAAGCUUUAAGCCCAAUAAAAAAAUUUUCAAUUUUAAUUUGAUUGGAUUUUAUUUAUUUAUUUAUUUAUUUAUUUUAAUUUUAUCUAUUUUUUUUUAAAAGUCAAAAGUCAAAGAAAAGUAAAAAAAAAACGAGAAAUAAGAAAAUGAGUGAUUUUAGCUUGAUUCAUACAAACCUUGUAAAAGAGAAAAUUUAAAAUCAAAUACAGAUUAUAAAAUGCAAUAAAAUCAUAAUCAAUUUAACUUAUUUUCCAAAUUAAAGGGAUUCAAUUUCUAUAAAUAAAUAAAAACCACACACAAAGAGGUGCAAGAAAAAAAAAUAAAAUUUCAAAAAUUUUAGGUUUCUAUUUUUUUAAUUUUGAAAAGGAAUUAUUCAAGCAAAUUUUGAGUUUUUUUUUGGGUUCUAUGGUUUUAUUCUGUUUUGAGUUUGAUUUGAUUUGCUUUUGGGUUUUUUAAAUUUGGGUUUUAAUUUUUAAGUUUGAUUUCAUAUUCUAUUAAGUUUCUAGGAUUUUUUAUGGGGUUUUCUGUUGGUUUUUGAUUCUAGGAUUUCUAUCAAGUUUUCAAGAAUUUGAAAACUUUUUUGGGUUUUUUUUAGAUAUAGGAUAAAUUUUCUAGUUAAAACUUAAAAUUUUAGCAUGGACUCAAUGACCUGCAUGAAGAUCCACACUUCAAGCCCAUAAUUUUAUCAUUAAAAACACAUUUCCUACCAAGUUAAUAACAGCUUAAAUAAAAGAAAACAUGCCAUCUUCAGAAGCUAAGAUAAAAAAUCCCAUUAUUGACAAUCAUGAGUUGUCUACCAUUGGCAACAUACUCCAAUAAUGAGAUGAUUCUUGAUGAUUGACAAUGAGGCAAGGUAAAUAUGUUGUAACAUUUUGAUCUUUCAAGUCAUAGAUAUAAAGGUCUCUAUCUUCACAUUGAGUAUAGUAAAUAGAGUUUCUCUUUAUAUUAGAUUCUUUAGCUACUAGGCACCAUGAGUUGUAACAUUUAUUUAUGAGAAAAUUUGUAUUAUUUCCAACAUUUUUCACCUCAACCCAUUCCCUUUCACAAAAAUCAAACCCAAAAUCUUCAAAAUAUAAAACUCAUUGUCACAAUGUUGGAGAGUAAAUCUUGCAAACAAGCAACAUCUCUUCAAACAUUCAAACCAAUAUGUUUUGUGUUGAAUGGUAAAGUUAAACAAUUUUGAUUCUUUUUUAUAGUCAAUUUUAUAAAUCGAAGACUUAUCCUUUAAACCAAAUUAUAAGCAAAAAAUAUUUUGAAGAAAUGCCAUAGUUUUUUGUCCAAAUGUUAUCAUACUGAUCACAAAUAUCGUGUUUCAACUUUUGUUUUGAAAACUCACAAUCAUCAAAAAAAUAAAAUAUAAAUUCAACAUCUACAAGAUUAAAGAAAAGAAUGUGGUAAUUUGGAUCACUUAGAGGUACUGUGAGAAUGUACAUGCCAAAUUUCAUAUUGAAAGAAGGUAGUUUCAUUGUCUCCAUCAAAGCAAGAUUUAGAAAAGAACAAUCGGAUAAGAUAAGAUUCAAUAACACUAACAAUCAAAAGGAAGAGCAACAUAUUUGUUUAUGGUGCAUCUCAGGAAUGAUUUUAGUGUAAUACAGAUGUUGUGAUACGCUGAAGAAAGUUUGCCUUCUUCCAAACUCUUCUUAAGAUAUAACAAGCCAACGGUAAGGUUGAGAUAUGAGGAGAAAAAGAGAAUACGAUGAUCGUUCAUCAUCAACCUCAGCUAUUGCUUCCAUGUUUACAACCCAAACUAUUUUCCUAUCUAAAAAUAUAAUGUUGUAUAUAUUAAAGCUCUUAGGUUAACUAAAUUAGAAGGAAAUAAAAUUUAGCAAAAAAACCUAAGAAAAAAAAGUAAAGAGACUCAUGUCUAAUGAAAAUUAAACUAGAACCAAUAAUAUAAUAUUAGUAGAAUGAUUUAGUUUUCUUACUUGUUCACAACAUACAAAUCCAAUUUAUAUCCUUUAACUUGUGAAUAUCUCCGAUUAAAGUAUCAAGUGAAUAAAACUUGAUAUUAGCUACUAAAAUCAAAUCAAUAUUCUAAAAAAAUAAAAUGUGGAGCCCCUUUAUCAAGUGGAGUCAAUGGAUAAAAAUAUUUAAAGUUAUCUACAAUAAUGAAGAAUUAAAGCAAGUUUACAUGAAACAAGAUUGGUGAUAAUCAACUAAGAUGCAUUAAUCUUUAAUAGUUGGUUAUUAAAAUAGAUAUAAAUAUUAGGUUAUAGGGAUUCAAAUUGAAGUUUUGCUUCUUGUUUGAUUAAACAAAGCUAUAAAAAAUAAUUUCAGCAUUGCAAAUCAAGCAGCAGUAUGCAUAAAAAAACUAAGGUCGAUAAUGAUCUUACCUAAUAAGUAAAAUGAUAUAUAAUAAAUCACUUUUUUUCUUGAAUACAAAAUACCUUCAGUCUCUCCUUUGUUCCCUUAAUUAAUUCCACUUAUCAAUAAAAAAAUAGAAUAUAUAUAAAAAAAUAUGUAUGUAUGUGAGGUUAUUAUUAGGUUUUUAGUAGCUAACUCAUUAGAAUUAUUUUCAGAUUUAGAUUUGAAAUUACAGUAACAAUAAGUAUUUAUUAAUUGUAAUUCAAAGAUACUCCUUUUUUCUAUUAGGAUUAAUAUGACUAUAAUUAAUAUUACAAUUAUAUUUAUUAGCUUUUGAAUUUAUUAUUACAUUAAAAGGAUCCUAUGAUUUAAAAAAAAAAAAAGAUGGGUGCAUUUAUCAUUGGGUUGCAUCUUUUGUCUUAUUCACUAUCAAAACCAUGUGUUUGAAUAACAAAUAAUCUUCUAUUUUAUUCUUAACUUGUUUCUAUCUUCUUCAGUCCCUAUUCCACUUUUAUUUCUUAUUUUGAUAAGCACUAAAAUUUAAAAAGACAUAAUCAAAUCUUUUGACCAACUUAAACUCCUAGCCAUCCCUAAACAUCUAUUUUGAUCUCUAUAGCCAUCUUCCCACUUUUUUAACUUCUUUCUAUCAUCUUUCUCCACAACAAUAAGGAAGCCAAGUAAAAAUAAAAAGAAGAGAUUCUUUUUAUGUAUAUUAGCAUAUUUAGCAUAUACCAUCAAUAGCUACUAGUAAGAGAAAAAAUAUGGUUCAAUAUAAAAGUACUUAUAAUUGAAACUUAUUUUAAAAAUAUAUAUAAAAAAACUUGUUGAUUCUAUCCUAAGAAACAAUUUAAGCCUGAGCUAACAACAUAAAAUCUAUAAGUUGUGAAGAUAUAUAGCAUUAACAGCUAAUUUAGACCAACAAAAAGGCUUCAUGUCUGUCAUAACGUCUAGAUUUGGGAUCUAUCGCUAGAUAUUGACUUUUAGGGAGUCGUCACCAAUUUUUUUUAUCUAGGUGCGAUUGACCACCUAAGAAAUCUGUUCUUUCAAGGAACACCUAAGUUUAAGGGUCCCUAAAAAAAUAGGUUCAGGUCUACUAACCAAAACAGAGUUCGGGAGUUCGGUUACGUGUGAGGAAGGUUAUAGCACCCUCACAACGCCCAUCAAAAGAUGGUACCAGCUUAAAUUUGUGUUAUCCAAUGAGCCUUAAAAUUUUAUCAAGUAAUUAAUUAUUAGAAAUUAUUCUCAAUUGACUUUAAUACUUUUAGCAAAAAAUUGAGAAAAUUCCCUUAUCUCAAGAAUAUGCAAGAAAACUACUGUUUCACUUGCAGAAGCUCCAUCGUCGGAUUAUUUAACAUAAACAAAAAAUAAAUAAAUAAAUAAAGGAAGAAAAGAAUGAUUGUUCUUGUGCAGGGAAAAUUGAUACUUUCAACUUUUCUCCAAAAAUAUUCUUUUGAAACUUUAAUUUCGAGGAAAAUUGAUACUUUCAACUUCUCCUCAAAAUUUUAUUUUUUGAAAAUUCAUUCUUAAGGAAAAUUGAUACUUUCAACUUUUCCUUAAAAAAACCUUUUUUUGAAAAUUAUUUUUAAGGAAAAUUUAUACUUUCAACUUUUUCUCAAAAAAACCUUUUUUUGAAAAUUUAUUUUUAAGAAAAAUUGAUACUUUCAACUUUUCCUCGAAAAAAAAAUCUUUUUUUUUGAAAAUUUAUUUUUAAGGAAAAUUGAUACUUUCAACUUUUCCAUCAAAAAUAUUUUUUGGAUUUUUAUUUAAAGAAAAUAGAAUAAUAAAACAAAAUAAAAGUGAAAAUAAAUAAAAAAAUAAUGAAAAGUAAAACAAAAAUAAAAAAUAAAAUAAAGAUAAAAGAAUAUUAAAUAAACCUAAUCUAAUAAAUAAAUAAAUAAACAAAUAAAAAAAAAACCUGGAGCGACUCGAAAAAUGGCUCGGUUCGGUUCUGCUCAAGAAAGAAAAACGGCUCGGAGAAGCGCCUCGGGAUGUCGGCUCGGCUCAGCUUACGGCUCGAGGAGGCAGAACACGCGCGGGUCAAGAAGCGGAUCGAUGCUCGGAUCGGGUCGGAUCUUGGCAAAACACGCGGAUCCUCUAGGUUAUUUAACGCAAAAACGGCAUUGUUUUGAGAAGGUAUAUAAGACUGUUUCCUUCGUUUUUCGACAGAAACCUUUUCCCCUCUCUCUCUCUUCCUUCUUUUUUCUCUCACUUUUCUCUAAAACGGUCGAAGAACUUCGAUUGAAUAUUCACCGGAUUCUGGAAUUUUUCACCGAAAUUUGGGUUUUUCGUCGGAAGUUCAUCGAAAAGUUGAUCAGUUUCUGGGAAUCUUCACCGGAAACUUCAAACUUGGUCGGAAUUAUCGUCGAAAAAUUUAACUUUCAUCGAAAAAAAUCACCGGAAUCUGGAAAAUUUCCAGAAAUUUCCAGCAAAAAAUUUCGCCAAAAAUCGCCAAAAUUUUUUUUUCAAUUCCUACAGCUGUUCUAACACUUCCAAACCUUUUCUUAGCCCUCUAUACGUCUUUUUUUUCUCAACCAAUAGCUUCUUUGCUCACUAUUUUUUUGUGUUCUGUUCUGUUCCUGAGGAUCCCUUUUAUAGGGAUUGAUUAAAAGAGUUUCUGAUCAAUCUCAAUUCCUCUUUGGAUCGAAAUUCAAUCAUUGAAUCCAACAUGGACUCUUCUGAUUGAAUCCCAAUCCAAUUUCCAGCCAGAUAAAUAAAAAAAAAUCAAAUGAAAAUAAAUCAGAUAAAUCAAAAAAAUUAACAGAUAAAUUAAAAUUAAAUAACAGAUAAUACAUAAUCUGAUAUACAUAAAUAUUAACAGAAAAAAAAAGAAGAAAAAAAAGAAUAAAGAUAUAUACAUAUUAAUAAAUACAUAAAUACCUAAGAUAAAAAAAUAAAAGAAAAAAAUAUAUAAAUAAUAAUAAAAAUAAAAUAGAAAUAAAAUAAAAAUGUAAAAUAAUAAAAAUAAAAUGAAGAAAAAAAGAACAUAGACUUACCUAUUUGGACCAGGCCCAAUUAAUCCGGGCCUGGACCAAAUUGGGUGUCUACAGCUGCCCAUCUUUACACAUUUUUUGUGAAACAGAAAUUGUGCAAAGACGUAGACACCCAAUCAAGACUCAACUCGAUCUUUUUACUUUUUAUUUUUUUUUGUUUUUGAUCAAAGCUCCUCUAGGCAGAGGCUCGAUGAUUUUAAGAAACAUAAAUGGCUCCUCUAAUCAGAGGCUCAACAACUUUGGAAAAAUAAAUUGCUCCUCUAAAUAGAGGCACCAUGACUUUUGAAAAAUAAAUUGCUCCUCUAAACAGAGGCACCACGACUUUGAAAAGUAAAUUGCUCUUCUAAACAAAGGCAACACGACUUUGAAAAUGUAAAUUGCUCAUUGAUGAUUAUGUCCAAAGGAGUUGAAAGUUGUGUUUGAGUGAAUUUCAGGAGAUUAUGCCCAAAGGUUUUAUAAAUCAACCCUGAUGCCAAAAGACAUCCUAUUUCAAGGAUUAGGAACUUACCUGACAAGUUUCUUUCAAUUUUAAAAAUACCUUCACAUCUAUCUUCUCUAUGUGGAAUCUUAGAACACUCCUGCUUCUUGAAUUUAUACACUAUACUUUUCUGAAAGUAGUGUAUGCUAUGCAAUGCAUAUGAAUUUCAAUGCAUGCUAUGCAAAUGUUGGCCAAUUAAUUCCUUUUCAAUGUAUGGUACUCAAAUUUCUCAAGCUUUUUUCUUGGGCAUCAAGCACUUUGAUUCUUCAAAGAUCCAAUUACACUGCUCUUCUAAGAUCGAGCUCGUGUAGCUCUUAAUUGUCUCUUCCACUCACAUUCUUUCUGUAAGAAAUCUCUUCUCAAAUUCAAUGUCCUAAUCAGGAACUAAACAUCUUGAUUCUACCUUUAUUACUCUUGACGUAUUCAAUGCAAUGUAAAAAUUUUUUCAUGUUGUUAUUCAUUCAUCAAUCAUUAUUUCAAACUCAAAAAAUAAGAAUGCAUUUGCACAUUUCUUCCAUGAUGGGGUAUUAAGAAGAAAAAAAUCUGAAUGGUUGAGAAACAGUCAUCAGAAAAAGACAUAAAGAAUGAAAUAGAAUGUCUCUUAUUAGCAAAAUGUUAGCUAAUUUCAGCCAAGAGAGAAUUACAAGGAUAAGUAUAGGACAAAGCCCAAAAUGAACAAUCAGAUAAUCAUGAUAACACAUCUCAAAGUUUUUUCUGAAAACCCAACCCUCUGAUGUAUUUAACAACUUGGAACUCUUUCGAAUUUACUAGUCUCCAUAUCAGCGGACUUUUAAAUUCGAUGUUGUAUUCUCUUUAUCUAAGCUGCCUUUUCAGGUUUUCAACUUAGACAAACCCCCUAUGACUCAAAUCGCCCUUUUAGGGUUUUUACCUUGAGUCCUCUUUUUUCAUUCACUUUUUUCUUUUUUUUUCUUUUUUUUCUUUUUUUUUUUUUUUUUUUAUUUUUUCAUUUUUUUCAAGCAUAGUAUUUUUUCACAACAUCAGAAUUUAUAGGAUGGGGUAAAUCAUUUCCAUCAAUCUCAGUUAGUAUCAGCGCUCCACCCAAAAAAGCCCGUUUCACCACAUACGAUCCUUCCUAAUUCGGAGUCCAUUUUCCUAUACUAUCGUGCUGGAUUGGAAGAAUUCUUUUGAAGACCAACUCUCCUUUUUGAAAGCAACGGGGUCGAAUCUUCUUAUCAUGAGCCCUCAUCAUUCUUCUUUGAUAUAGCUGCCCAUGGUACAGUGCAAUCAAUCUCUUUUCUUCUAUGAAAUUUAACUGCUCAUAACGUUCUCGAAUCCAUUCAGCUUCUUCCAACUCAACUUAUUUUAGAACUCUUAAGGAAGAGAUCUCUACUUCCACUGGUAGUACAGCUUUCAUUCCAUAAACCAAAAAAAAUGGGAUUGCCCCAGUAGAGGUGUGAACUGACGUUCGAUAUACAUGCAAUGCAAAUGGUAACUUCUCAUGCCAAUCUUUGUAAGUCUCGAUCAUUUUUUCCAAAAUCCUUUUUAUGUUCUUAUUGGUUACCUCAACUGCCCCAUUCAUUUUCGGACGAUAUGGUGUCGAGUUAUGAUGCUUGAUCUUGUAUUGAGUACAUAUUUCUUGCAUCAUCUUACUAUUUAGAUUAUUGGCAUUGUCUGAAAUAAUUCUCUCUGAAAGUUCAUAUCUAUAAAUGAUCUCUUUUUUUAUGAACUUACAAACCACAGAGCGUGUCACACUUGCAUAUGAUGCUGUCUCUACCCAUUUUGUGAAGUAAUCUAUCAUCACAAAAAUGAAUCUGUGCCCGUUAGAAGCCUUUGGGGUGAUUGGACCAAUGACAUCCAUGCCCCACAUUGAGAAUGGCCAUAGUGGUGCUAAACAUGUAAAGCAGAUGGCGAAGCAUGGAUCUUAUCAGCAUAUAUCUGGCAUUUAUGGCAUUUACGAGCAUAGUUAAUGCAAUCAUUCUCCAUCAUCAACCAGUAAUAUCCUGUUCUCAUGAUCUGUCUCGCCAUUAUAUGUCCACUAGUAUGUGCCUCAUAUAUUCUAUCAUACACCUCUUCAAUGAUUCUCUUCACUUCAAUCUUAUUUACGCACCUCAAUAAUACUUGAUCCUUACUUUUUUCGUACAGGACAUCCCCAUCCAGGAAAAAGCUCAUAGCCAAUCUUCGGAUGACCCUUUUAUCAUUUUUUGUUACUUAAACUGGGUACUGCUGAUCCUUAAUAUACUGUAGAAUGUCAUAAUAUCAGGGUUUUCCAUCUUCUUCUCUCUCUACAUUAGAGCAAUAAGCUGGUAUAUUCUUAACAUCUAACUUGAUGGCUUGAAUGUCGGUAUUAUCAUUAAUUCGAAUCAUUGUAGCCAGAGUGGCCAAUACGUCAGCAAUUAAAUUUUUUUCUCGAGGUAAGUGGUCAAACUAGAUAUCUUUAAAUUGUUUCAUUAACUCUAGAAUAUACUUAUGAUAUGAAACGAGUUUUGAAUCUCUCGUUUCCCAUUCUCCUUUCAACUGAUAUAUAACUAAGGUUGAGUCUCCAAACACUUUUAGUACUUUCAUUUUUUUAUCUAUAGCAGCUUGUAAGCUCAUGACACAUGUCUCAUAUUCAGCGAUGUUAUUUGUGUAAUUAAAAUUUAAUCUUGCUGUUACAGGGCAGUAUUGUUCUUCUGAAGAGAUCAAAAUUGCCUCAAUUUCAUUCCCCAAGGCAUUAACAGCUCCAUCAAAGUACAUUCUCCAACAUUUUUCUCCAUGCCCCCUUCCUCUAGUUGGGAAAUAGUCAUUAGGUCUUCAUCAGAGAAUUCCAACUUCAUCGACUCAUAUUCUUCAGUAGCACGAUCUGCAAGAAAUUCUGUUAUAGCGCCCCCCUUUUAUUGCUUUUUGGCUCACGUAUAUAAUAUCAUAUUUCGAGAGCAUUACUUGCCAUCUAGCGAUUUUUUCAGAUAAAGAAGGCUUCUCGAAGAUAUACUUAAUGGGAUCCAGUUUCGCUAUGAGCCACGUAGUAUGAUAGAACAUAUACUGUCUGAGUCUUUUGGCAGUCCACGCUAAUGCACAACACAUUUUCUUUAAUGAAAAAUACUUGGAUUCAUAUUCCGUCAACUUUUUACUUAGAUAGUAAAUAGCUCUCUCCUUUUGGCUAGCCUCGUCUUGCUGCCCCAGCACACAUCCCAUUAAAUUUUUACAUACAGUUAAGUAUAAGAUUAAAGAUUUUCCUGGAACAGGUGGCACCAAUACUUGAGGGUUUAAUAAAUAUUGCUUAAUUUUAUCAAAUGCCUCUUAACAUUCUUCAUUCCAUUUCUCAGGAUUAUUCUUACGGAGAAGCUUAAAUAUGAGAUCACAUUUGUAAGUAAGCUGAGAGAUAAAUCGAGAAAUGUAGUUCAAUCUCCCCAGAAAACCUCAAACUUUCUUUGGUGUACUGGGAGGUGACAGAUUUUGAAUGGCCCGUAUCUUAUCAGAAUCGACUUCAAUUCUUCUUUCACUGACCAUAAAGCCUAGCAACUUCCUUGACUUUACCCCAAAAGUGCACUUGGCUGGGUUUAAUUUGAGCUGAAAUUUUCUCAACCUCUCAAAUAACUUUCUGAGGCUGGUGACAUGAUUUUCAUCCUCACAAGACUUUGCAAUCAGAUCGUCUACAUAUACUUCGAUCUCUUUGUGUAUCAUGUCUUAGAAGAGUGUUACCAUGACCCUUUGAUAUGUUGCCCUAGCAUUCUUUAACCCAAAAGGCAUGACUUUGUAGCAAAAAAUUUCCCACAUGGUCACAAAAGUAAUCUUUUUCAUAUCAUCUGCAGCCAUUUUUAUCUGAUUAUACCCCGAGAAACCAUCCAUAAAGGAGAAAAUCGAAUGCUUAGCCGUGUUAUCUACCAGUGUGUCGAUAUGAGGUAAAAAAAAAGUUAUCCUUUGGGCUAGCCUUAUUCAAGUCCCGAUAGUCUACACACAUUCAUACUUUUUCAUCUUUCUUAGGAACUGGGAUUAUAUUGGCUACCCAUUAUGGAUACUUAGCCACUUGUAAAAAACCUGCAUCAAAUUGUUUCUUUACUUCUUCUUUAAUCUUCAGUAGCAUUUCGGGCUUCAUCCGUCUCAGUUUCUGCUAAACUGGCUUACAUUCUGGCUUUAGAAGCAAUCUGUGCUCCACUAUCUCUGUGCUCAGCCCUGACAUAUCCUAGUAAGACCAAGCAAAUAUAUCUACAAAUUCUCGAAGUAGGUCUGCCAAUCGUUGCCUAUCUCUAAAUGAAAGUGAAGUGCCCUUCUGACCUCUUUCUUAUUCUCUUCAUCUCUCAGAUUCACUAAGUCAACUACCUCCUGAUGAGGCUCAAUUGACUUAUUUUCUUGUUCGAUCAUCCUCAUUAGGUCCGGAUGCAUAACAUAUUUUUCAAAAUUCUUUUCAUUGUCAAGUUCAUCAGUGUUAAUUGAAUUCUCAAAGCUAACCUCUUGAUUGUUAUCAUGAUUAUCUUCAUGUUCAUUUAAAGACUUAAAAUUGAAUGAAAUGGGAUAUGUUGGCAAGAUGUGCUUGGAGAGAUGGAAAUAAUGAAGACAUAAGAAGAAAUGAAUGAAAAUGCAUCCUUUCUAUUUUUUAUUAAAAAUAAUAAAAGACAAAUAGCCCAAACAAAAAAGAUCACCCCAAUGCCUUGGACAAUAGCUAUUGGGAUGUUACAAUUACAUUGUUUUAGUCUCAAAAGUCAUAGGCAUCUCGAUAGCACUUCAAUUAUUCAGCUCAUAAUCUGGUGGACAAAGGCAAACCCACUCCUCUUGAUUAUGCCCCACUUCAUCUUCACUUAUAGCAUUCACAUUAUGAUUCGAUAAAAGAUUUCCACUAACAUUUGGUGCAGUCACCCCUCCCGUAUCAAAACAAAUCAUCCUAUCUUUGAUCAACCAUUGCACUUUGUGUUUCAGAGUGGUGUAAUUUUCGGUGGAGUGACCAGUAAUUCCAUAAUGGUAGUCACAGUGGGCUGUGAGAUCGUACCACUUGGGGUAAGGUGGCUUGAGGGGUUCCAAUUUACUUGGAGCAAUCAAAUGACUGUUGUAAAGCUCCUUAUAUAAUUCUAUUUAAGACAAUGAAAUUGGAUCAAACACAGGUUUCUCACGGGUAGUUCAUUGUUCCUGCCAUCCAUCAAUGGGGUUAGUUGGACGACUUUGGGGUCUUGGGGUAGGCUGAUUAUUAGGAUUGUACAUGAUAUUUUGAGGCUUAUGAGGGGUUUGAUAUGUUUGGAGGUACGGUGAUUGUACAAAUGGUUGGUAUGGGUGAGGAAAAGUGUUAUUUAUAGUAGGGUAAUAUGGUAGAUAUUCUGGUGGUGAGUAGGGUUGAUAACCUCCAAAUUACUGUCUAUCAAAGCUCACAGCCUGAGCUUCAGUUUCUUUCUUCUUCGGGACUCUCUUGCUAGAUGCUUUAUUUCCUUCUAGCUUAUCAUUCUUGAUGACACUCUCAAUAAUCUCUCAUGAGAUUACCAUAUUAGUAAAGUUUUUUGUUGCAUUUCCUAUCAUCUUUUCAUAAUAGGGAGGUUUUAAAGUGCUAAAAAAUAGCACUGUGGUCUCUUUCUCAGUCAGUAGAGGUUGUACUUGUGAAGCUAUAUCUCUCCAUCUCUGAGCGUAUUCUUUAAAAGACUCAUUUGCCUUUUUCUCAAGGUUCUGUAAAAACAGACGAUCAGGAGCCAAAUCGAUAAUGUGUCGAUAUUGACUGAUGAAGUCGUGAGCCAUAUCACUCCAAGAGCGAAUGUGGGUCCUAUCCAGCUGAACAUACCACCUAGCAACAGAGCCAGUAAGGCUAUCUUGGAAAACAUACAUCAAGAGUUUUUCAUCAUGAGCAUGGGUUACCAUCUUCCUACAAUACAUAGUAAUGUGGGUUUUGGGGCACUUCGUACCACCAUAUUUUUCAAAUUUUGGUACUUUGAAUUUAUGAGGAAUGAUCACAUUAGGGACUAAAUAAAGCCCAGCAGCAUCAACUGAACCAUAGAAACUAAAUCCUUCCACAGCCCGUAGCCUUUGUUCUAGCAUACUAAUCUUAGAGCUAUCUUGAGUUUUCACUCUUAUCUUUUUCUUUCUCUUUCUCUUUCAAAUCAUCUAGAUCAAGAAUUGGUUCUACUACCUUUUCAGUGAAGAUAGGAUUUACAUAGUUAUUAUACUGCCCUGGGUUGGAAGCUGAUGGCAUUCCAGGAUAUGUUAGAUAUGCGAAGUGUUGUGGCGGAACCUCUUGUGCAUACUGGGCUUGAGGUGGGCCAAAACCUGGAGGGUACAAAGGGUCAGCCACUUCUUGCAAUGGGGGAACUUGUUGGCUUGUAUUUUCUUUAACUCUUUUUCUCUUAUUCAUCUUAUUGAGAGCAUCCAAAAUUUUACUCAACUCACUUUCAAUCUUUUCUUGUGCUUUUUCUAUCUUUUCAAAUCUGUGAGAGUUUUUCUGCUCCAUUUGUCUUGCUCUGGAUCUUGUGUUGUAUCGAUGGGCAGGGUUCUCACUAGAUGAAGUUAUCCUUGAACCUUGAGUACCAUGUCUUAGAAUUAGUAAAUUUGCAUGACUAUCACAUGGUUACUUUAUGAAUGAGAAUGCAAUGAAUGAAAAAUGCAUGUAUGCAAAGAACAUUUACCUUAAAAACGGUAUUCAACUAAAAGAUUUCAUUUAUUCCAAAAAAACUUUUAUCUACAUUGAUUUUAUCAUUCUAGAAUUAUAGCCAUAAAAUUGUUUGAUCUGUUCAUACUGGGCCUUGGCUUCUUCGAUGAAGUACUUCGUUGGGUGUCCUACAAGGUGCUAAUACGGAUGAAGAACAAACUAGUCAUUCAGUGGAGUCCACGUAAAAAAAAUUUGUUGAAGAUCGUUUUUCAAGCAAAUGUUCUUUAUGCAACUUUAUGAUAUGCAUAUGAACCAAUGCAAAAGAAUAAGAAAAAGGUUAGUAUACCCAGAAAAAGAAUAAAUAAAUAACUAAGUAAAUUUAAACAUCACACAGAGUAAAAGGAAUGAAUCAUAUGCUUUUGGUCAAUUCUAAAAGGGAAGAGUGACUGCUUUAUCUAUAGGUUAAGCACACUUAAGGUUCACUAUAUGCGGUUUUAAGGUCAAAGCCUAAAGGUCCUCAAAUUGUUCCUUACAUCCCUGUCCAUCACAGACUAGUAAGGCACCCUAAUCCUCAUCCAUUACAGGCUACAAGUGAAAAAGGUUCAGUUUGAGUGGGAGUAUUUCGGUAGCCACUGCGAAGGCAUUAGACCUCACGAAAGCAAUAGGUACUUUACUCCCUCCUAGAGGGAGGAGUUCGGGUAUAGAGCUCAUGUUAUGCACAUGCAUAUGAAUGACAUAAUUAACAAAGUAAAUAAACAUGAAUGAAUAAUAACACAUAUAUACAACAAGGUUCAAUUUUAUUAGGCUUUUGGAUAACACAAAUUAUUUGCUGGCCUGACUCUCAGAGUCCCUAGUCGAGUCGCCAAGCUGUCAUAACGUCUAGAUCCGGGGAUCUAUCGCUAGACAUUGACUUUUAGGGAGUCGUCACCAAUCUUUUUUAUCUAGGUGCGAUUGGCUACCUAAGAAAUAUGUUCUUUCAGGGAACACCUAAGUUUAAGGAUCCCUAAAAGAAUAGGUUCAGGUCUACUAACCAGAACAGAGUUCGGGAGUUCGGUUACGUAUGAGAAAGGUUAUAGCACCCUUACAAUGCCCAUCAGAAGAUGCUACCAGCUUAAAUUUAUGUUAUCCAAUGAGCUUUAAAAUUUUACCAAGUAAUUAAUUAUUGGAAAUUAUUCUCAAUUGACUCUAAUACUUUUAGCAGAAAUUGAGAAAAUUUCCUUACCUCAGGAGUAUGCAAGAAAACUACUGUUUCACUUGCAGAGGCUCCAUCGUCGGAUUAUUUAACAUAAACAAAAAAUAAAUAAAUAAAAAAAGGAAGAAAAGAAUGAUUGUUCUUGUGCAGGGAAAAUUGAUACUUUCAACUUUUCUCCAAAAAUAUUCUUUUGAAACUUUAAUUUCGAGAAAAAUUGAUACUUUCAACUUCUCCUCAAAAAUUUAUUUUUUGAAAAUUUAUUCUUAAGGAAAAUUGAUACUUUCAACUUUUCUCCAAAAAUAUUCUUUGGAAACUUUUAUUUUCGAGGAAAAUUGAUCCUUUCAACUUUUCCUUAAAAAAACUUUUUUUUGAAAAUUUAUUUUUAAGGAAAAUUGAUACUUUCAACUUUUCCUCGAAAAAAAAAUUUUUUUUUUGAAAAUUUAUUUUUAAGGAAAAUUGAUUCUUUCAAUUUUUCCCCAAAAAUAUUUUUUGGAUUUUUAUUUAAAGAAAAUAGAAUAAUAAAACAAAAUAGAAGUGAAAAUAAAUAAAAAUAAUAAUAAAAAAAAUAAUGAAAAGUAAAACAAAAAUAAAAAAUAAAAUAAAGAUAAAAGAAUAUUAAAUAAACCUAAUGUAAUAAAUAAAAUUAAUAAAUUAAUAAAAAAAUAAAAAAAAAACUUGGAGCGGCUCGAAAAACGGCUCGGCUCGGCUCGACUCAAGAAAGAAAAACGGCUCGGAGAAGCGGCUUAGGACGUCGGCUCGGCUCAGCUCACGGCUCGGGGAGGCAGAACAUGCGUGGGUCAAGAAGCGGGUCGACGCUCGGGUCGGGUCGAAUCUUGACAAAACGCGCGGAUCCUCUGGGUUAUUUAACGCAAAAUUGACGUCGUUUUGGGAGGGUAUAUAAGACUGUUUUCUUCGUUUUUUAGCAAAAACCUUCUCCCCCCCUCUCUCUUUUCCUUCUUUUUUCUCUCGUUUCUCUCUAAAACGAUCGAAGAACUCCGGUUGAAUAUUCACCGGAUUCUGAAAUUUUUCACCGAAAUUUGAGUUUUUCGUCGGAAGUUCACCGAAAAGUUGGUCGGUUUCUGGGAAUCUUCACCGAAAACUGGAUAGCUGGCCAAAAACUUCAAACUUGGUCGAAAUUAUCGUCGAAAAAUUCAACUUUCGUCGAAAAAAAUCAUGGAAAUCUAGAAAUUUUCCAAAAAUUUCCAAAAAUAAAUUUCGUCAAAAAUCUCCAGAAAUUUUUUUUCGAUUCCUACAGUUGUUCUAACACUUCUAAACCUUUUCUUAGCCUUCUAUACGCCUUUUUUCUCUCAACCAGUAGCUUCUUUGCUCACUGUUUUUUGUGUUCUGUUCUGUUCCUGAGGAUCCCUUUUAUAGGGAUAGAUAAGAAGAGUUUUUGAUCAAUCACAAUUUCUCUUUGGAUCGGGAUUCAAUCAUUGAAUCCAACAUGGACUCUUCUGAUUGAAUCCCAAUCCAAUUUUCAGCCAGAUAAAUAAAAAAAAUAAAAUGAAAAUAAAUCAGAUAAAUCAAAAAAAAAUUAAUAGAUAAAUUAAAAUUAAAUAACAGAUAAUACAUAAUCUGAUAUACAUAAAUAUUAACAGAAAAAAAGAAGAAAAUAAUAAUAAUAAUAAUAAAGAUAUAUACAUAUUAAUAAAUACAUAAGUACCUAAGAUAAAAAAAUAAAUGAAAAAUAUAUAUAUAAAUAAUAAUAAAAAUAAAAAUAAAAUAAAAAUGUAAAAUAAUAAAAAUAAAAAUAAAAAUAAAAUGAAGAAAAAAAGAACAUAGACUUACCUAUUUGGACCAGGCCCAAUUGAUCCGGGCCUGGACCAAAUUGGGUGUCUACAAUGUCUUAAACAAUAAAAUUAAAAUACAAGAUUUAACAAUAAGGGCAUUGGAGGUUCAUUUUUUAUAUUUGUAAAGUGAGAUUGUAGGAAAAAAUGAAAAGUUAUAGAUGUGCGUGCAAUUUAAAAGAAUACAUACAGUUCAUAGUUAAAGUUAAGUAACAAAAAAGUCUAUAUCAAAUAAUUAAAUGUAAUAUAAGAUUUGACAACAAAAACUAACAAAUGUCAAUUUUAUGUAAAGUACAAACAAACUAAUAUUAAUUCUUGAAAACAACCCAAGCAUUCUUAAGAGGCCGAGAAAAACUUGAGCUCUCAUUAAUGAAUUCAAACCCUUUCAUUGAACAAAAUUCUUUAAGGUAUGUUGAUUGAUUAUAUAUGUUUAGUCUAUAUAUUAUGCGUUUAAUCAAAAAUUAAUUCUAUUGAAAAUAAUCUACCUUUCAAUUUCACUAUCCUAUCGCAUUAAUGUCACUAUAUGAUAACUAAAAUCAUUUUAAUAAAUAUCAUGUAAUAUAAAAUAGAAAGUAGAAACAUAUGUUUACAAAAAAAAAAAAAAGUUAGUAGUAGAAACAUAUUGUCCCAUUGGAUUUUGAAUCUCUCAGUUAUAUGAGAAGUCAAUAAUUUUUAUUUAGUGAAUGAUAAAAAAUGUCUGAAUUAAUAUUGAAAUGUCAAGUAUAUUGCUCAAAUGUAACAUAGAAAUUAGAAUAAAAAUGAGUGACCCAUUGCUUGUGCAUGAUUUUAGCAAAAAAAUAAUAUUCGAGGUCAAGUCAGAUGGCAUUACAAAAGGUAGUUGACAUAAAAAUAUUAAACUAUGUAUCUUGUGGCUCUAGAUAAUGAAUAAUCCCAUAGAGAUAUCAUUUAAUUCACUAUGGAUAUCUUCUUAGUUUUUGGAACUAAUUUACUUGCAUGUAUCUACUUAUGCUUACAUCAAAACUAUUCAAUUUGAAAUGUAAAUUAUCAUCAGUAAGGCUUGAUUAUAAGAUUAUAAUAUUUGUACUUCUUGACCAAUAAGUAAUUUACAAUUUACCUAAAAAAUAAAUAAUGAGUUGUAAAGUAAUUAAUUAUUCUGAUUAAAUUAAAUAGCAAGUGAAAGAGAAUCAUAUAUAUUUAAUCUUUAUGAACUUUCUUUCAAUGUUUAUGUUUUCCUAUAUUACUUUCCCUAGAUACAUAUGAAUUGUGCAAUAAAGCUAAAUGUAGUACGCUAUUUUAGUUCUUAAUGUCAUUGAGAAAUUUCACAUUUCUUAUUAAGUUGUGCUUUUUCUGCAAAAAUUUUAGCAGAUGCUUUCAUCUUCAAACAUUUCAUGUCUAGUUCAGGAAUAAUUUGAGGCUUUAUUCUUCGUAUAAUUGUCAUCUUCAACCUUUGUGUUGUGUGGAUAAUUGUUUAAGUAGUUAUCUUCGGACUUUGUUUGACAGUUUUCAAGAAACAACUCCUCGAGCUAACAUGAAAUGUAACAAAAAGUUAUUUUUGUAUCAUUGAGAUAUAAUGCAAAAAUUAAUAUAAAAAUUUUUACCUAGAUCUAGAAUGUCAGGUCAUUGAUAUGUAAACACUUUCUUUGCAAUUUUAUAACUUUCUAUCAUAAGAUCACUCAAUUGUCUUCGAAGUAAACUUAUGACAUAAAAAACAUAAGAAUGUGUACAGAUUUGAGCAUACAUUGAACUAACCACAAUAGCAACAUUCGAAAUAUUUAACAUAUGAGCUCUUUUAUUAUCAUUAUGAGAACAUUAAGAUUUUAAGAAUAUACCAACUUUCAUGAUAUGCGUCUUAUUAGAAGAACAAUAGGUAUAUUAAACCUACUUAACAUACGCUCAAAGUAUGUUUUCUAAGACAAACCAAGUAUGCAUUUAAAUUUAUCAUAAAGAAUCUCAAUACCUAAAACAAAAUGAAGCUUCACUUAAAUUCUUUAUCUCGAAGUAAUAUGAUAACAUGUACUUUUUCUUAUACAAUAAGUAAGUAUCAUUGAUUACUAGCUAGAUGUCAUCAACAUAGAGCAUGUGAAAUACGUAGUUACUCUCACUGAUAUUAAAGUAUAUGUACUGAUUAACAAUGUUAUACUUAAAUUGACAAUCUCAUCAAACUUUAAAUAGCAUAGACUAAAUGACAUUUAUGUUCAUAAAUGAACUUUUUGAGUUUAUGAACCAUAUGUUUCAUCAUGAGAACUACAAAGCCUUCAAGAUAUCCCAUUUAGAUGUUUGUAUCUCUAAAUCAAAAUGAACUAUCAAUGCCAUCAAAAUUUUAAAAGAAUCAUUGGUAAAAAUAAGAAAGAAUGUUUUUUUUAUAAUCAAUUCAUAUUCUUUGCUUAGAGCCAUUAGCCAUAAAUUUGGCUUUAAACCUUUCAACUUGACCUAUGGAAUCUUUUUUAGUCUUGAAAAUUCAUUUACAACCAAUUGUCUAUGAUAAUUUGACAAUUUAAGUAGAUCUCAAUUAUCAUUUUAAAAUAAAGAUGCUAUUUAAUAUCGUGUGAUAAUUAUCCAACUUUGAGAGUUAAAAUCACUAACAACCUUUUGAAAAGUAAUAAAAUCAGAAGACACAUAAGUACCAUAUUCAUGUUCAUAGGCUCCGAAAUGAGAUUGUUAAGAUCAAGUAUUGGUGCAUUCACUUAUGGUAUUUCUCAUCAACAGAUAAGUCAUAUAAAUGACUAUCAUAAUAACACAUUCUUUUUUUAGAAUAACUUUGUGGAGCUCAAAACUCUUACUAAGUCAUCCUCUAAAAAAAUACACAAUCAAACUUGAUGAUUCUAAUAAUAUAUGAUGGAUAAUAAAAAUCUAGAUUCUCUUAAACCAAUAUAAUAACCAACAGAAUAAUUGCUAAUAGUUUUCUUGUCAAGUUUCAUUGAUUGUGAGUUAUACCCCUUACCUUUUCUUUACAACUUCAAACAUGAAAAAUGGUUUGAAGUUGAUUUCAUGGUUGACAACAAUUUAUAACGAUUUUUUAGAAUUGGUUUCGCUUGGAGCUUGAUUUAGAAUGUAUGUUCCAAUCUUGAAAGCUUCGCUCAAUGUAAAUUCUGAUAACGUGGAGUUAUUUAGCAUACAUCAUACUAUAUAAAAAAAUGUUCGGUUGUCAUUCUUUUCUAAUAUUUCAAGCAUAGUAUAAUAGGCAUAAACUUUAUAAUCCUAUAUAGCAAAAUGAUAUAGGGUUCAGCCUAGUUUCAUUAAAUAAAACACAAUAUUUUUCACCCUUAUCUGAUUUGACUACCUUAUUUGGUUUACUUUUAGAUAUCCAAUAAUAGAUUUUUAAAACCUUUAAUAUUUAUAAAGAAUCAAACUUCUCACUCCAAAUAACCAAAAACAAAAAAGAUUUCAAUAAAGAUGAUGAAAUGUUUAUAUCCACUAUAUGCAAUAAGUGGAAAUUGUCCACAAAUAUUAAUAUAAAUUAGUUCCUAAAUAUUUCUACAUCUGCUAAGCUUACACUUAAUAUUAGCAAUGAGUUUUCUCUUAAUGCAAUCUAUACAUAUACUAAAUUCAUAAUGUCCUUAAUGCAUAUGCCACAACAUGAAAGACUUUUCAUCUAUCUAUCAUAAUUAGAACCAUUAACCAUAUUGUUCACUUUUCAUACAACUAAAGUAAAAGGUUAUUCAACAUUGGGGUAUUAGUCUAUUUUACAUAAUCUAUAGCAUAGAAUGCCAAAAUCAAUAUACAUGUUGUUACAAAAAAAAAAAAACUUUUCCAUAAUCAAAAUGAAUAGUGUAAACUAACUAGUAGUUUCGAAACUGACGAAAAUGUAACAACAAUAUUGCAAUUCCUAUGUAUUCAACCUAGACUUUAACUUUAUUGCUCAUGCUUAUAACUAUUUCCCAUAAUCUGGUCUUCGAUUACUUAUCAAUUCCUAUAAGUAAUUGGCUUUACUAAUUCUGGCACUGGUAUCCAACCACCAAAAGUGGGCACGUUACCUAGAAUGAAUUUAGGAAAAAGGUUAACAAAAUGCCUUGAUACCUUUCAAUCUAAAAAACUUUUGUAAUUUGUCCUCUUGUGUCUAAGUUUAUAACAAAAGUAACACACUUCUCUAAAUUCCUCUGAUUUUGAGGUAUUAGUGAAACUAAAAUGGGAAAUGAGCUUCGCAUAUUUCUUCUUUAAAUGACUUUCUGCUUGGGAUCAUUUUUAGUGCUAGCAUAUGUUAUUAUGAAGGCAGAAUGAGAAUUACUAGUUUACAACAACUCUUACUCUUGGAUGAUAAUAGCUUGGAAUUGUCGUUAGAAUGCUUUAUGAAUGCACAUUGAUGUUUUUGCCCUUAAUCGAACUUUCAAAAUGCACCAUAAAUAAAUAUACUACUCACCACCUCUUCCAUCUAGAUAUCCUCUAGUCAUCUUGAAUGACAAAUUAUUAUUUAAUACUUUAAUUUGAGAUAUUAACUUAAUAAAAGAUAAUAUAUUUAUCUAUAAUUAAAAUGUAAUUUAUAUUAAAUGUUAUAAUAAAUUACAAUUAUUAAAUUAAUUUUUGAUUAAGUUAGAUGUAGUUUUAUACACAUGCAAAUUGGGUAUGAAAAAUAAUAUUUUGAUUUUAGGUCAGAGCCAAAUUUUAAUGUUAUAAAGUCAAAUCAAGGUUGGGGUAAAAAAAACUCACCCAACAUGUCCUGUUGACAUUUCUAGUUGGAAUGAUGGUUAAGGAUGCAAAUGGCUGAGUUAUGUUAUUUGUUGUCACUAUGACUUCCUUUGCAGAUAGCUCAUUAAAUGCUAAAAUGAGAUGCAAGCAUUCUAUUUUGGAGUGUUGUGGUUUCAAUUCUAUUGUGGUAGAAAGUGAUGCAUUGUUAGCUAUUUUUUAAAUAUUAAAAGUUGAUGAAUCAAUGUGAGAUGGGUGGCAUCAUUUCGGAUAUUUGGAACCAAAUUUUAGGGUGUGAUAGCUAUGUUUUUUUGCAUAUGAGAAGGUUGCUAAUUCCUUUGUUCAUAAUCUAGCCAAUUAUAUAAUCUUGUUUUUACAUGAUAUUAAAAUUAGUAAAGGGGCCAAGUGAAAGUUGUUUAUAGAAAAAUUAGCUAAAACAUGUAUCAAUAUUAAGAUUUUAAACCAAAUAAAAUUGAAGAUUUUGAAUUUGUCCUCAAUUAACAUUCAAAGGAUAUGGCACAAGCAAUUACUCUAAUCCUUGUUAUGUAUUGAGGAAUUAAAAUUCUUAAAAGUGAAAAACUAUCACAAUUUGAAAUAUUUGUUCUCAUCUUUCAAGGUAAAAGAUUUUGUGUAACUCAAAAGCCUUCUUAUUUGGCACUGUGAGAUCAUGGAAGAAGUAAUCUUCAUUAAAGAAUUGAUAGAAAAAGAAAUGAUGAACCAAAUGUUAUUUGCUAAACUAGAUUUCCUAUAGCUCUAAGACCUUCCCAAACUCACAAGAUUUGCUUUAAACCUUACUUUAAAUUUCCAAGCUUGAGAAUUUUAACACUAACAAAUUGUCUUUUAUUACAAACAUUCAUCUCUAAAUCUAUAACUAGAGACUAACCUCAAAUUUAUCAAAAUACAGAAGAAAGUAACUUGAAGGUUGAUAACUUUGCUUUUUUCAAUAAAAGGUGAUUUUUCUUUUAUUUUUCCUUUACCAUUAUUUUCUUCACAAAUUCUCCUUUUAAUUUGUUGUGGCUUUUUCUUUCAUCUGUUACUUUCAUCAAGCUUGCUUAGUGUUUUUUUUUUUUAAUACUUUUAACAUCCUUUGUCAAUUUAAACUCUAUUGUUUAACACAUUUGUUAAUAUCUAGGAUAAUUUGUAUAUCUUAAAAGAAUUAACAUGGUACCUAUUAGGCAUGAAGCAAGAAACACAACAACAUAGAAGCAAUAUAUCGUAAUAAACAUGCAGUAAUAGACAAUAAUCAAUAAUUAUAAACGUAAAAAAAAUAAAGCACACCAAAAUGUACAUGAAAAAUCCUUCAAUGUAGAGGAAAAAAAUCAUGUACUAGAAAAAACUUCAUUAGCAAAUAAUGGAUAUAUAAAGUUCUUCUCUAAUUAAAACUAGAGCUAAUCAACAACUAGAGAGAGACAAUUGGAGAAAUCUCAUCAAAUAGGUGACUCAACAAAUACAUACUGAAUUUGUUUCUAGAGAGCUUCAAACUCAAUUUUCAUCGAUCAAAAUAUAGAACUCUGAAUCAUAAACCUAUUGACAAAAUUUUAGCUCAAUUAGACCAUGGAUUGACUUUCAUUCAACCAACUCUCCUUUUUCCCUUUUCUUUCUAUUUUUUUGGCUUUUCUUCUUUCUUUUCUUGGUUUGUAACACUUAAGUAGCUAGGGCUCUGUGUAAAAAGAAAGACCAAGACCCAUGGCCUUUGAUUAGUUAAAAACUAGUUACAUGGGGUUGGACCCCAUUUUCCUAACAAUUUCUCCUUCCAGUCCCAUUAGGAGGAAAUUCAUCACCAUAGCAGUUUCAUUUGAAACUUACCUUGGUUAAGAAAUUCAUUCCGAUCAAGUUACUGUAGAGCUUAAGCUUUUUCUUAAAAAGUAUUUUAGUUAACAUAUCUGUUACAUUUUCAUUAGUAUGGACUUUCUUCAACAGCAUUUGAUGUUUCUCAGUCACUAAACAUAACUAGUGAUAUCUAACAUCAAUAUGCUUUGUUCUAACAUGGUACAUGACAUUGUUACUUAAAUCUAAAGCACUCUGGCUAUCACAAAAUGCCACAUACUCUUUUUGAUUCAACCCUAAUUCAAGAAGAAAAUGUUUCAUCCAAAGCAUUGCUUUACUUGCCUCGGUUGCUGCAAUAUACUUAGUCUUUGAGUUGACAAAGUAACACACUUCUGUAAUUUAGACUGCCAAAACACAACUCUUCCUGUAUAAGUCAACAAAUACCUAGAAGUAGAUUUUCUACCAUUAAAAUCACCUACUAUGUUAGUAUCAGUAAACCUUUCUAGAAUUGGUUGUGAAACUCCAUAACUUAAGUACAUUUUUAAGGUGCCCUUCAAAUAUCUGAAAAUUUAUUUCACUACUUCUCAGUGAACCUUUUCAGAUUAAAAAGAAAUCUGUUCACUACACCAACUAUAUGAGUAAUGUCAGACCUUGUACAAACCAUAAAAUACAUUAAAGAACUUACUGUAGAAGAAUAAAGAAUACUAGACAUAGCUAGUUGCUUUUUCUUAGACGUCGGAUAAGAUUUUUUACUCAAAUAAAAAUAGUUGACAAGUGGACUACUAAUUAAUUUAACAUGUUGCAUGUUGAAUCUACUAAACACUUGUUCAACAUACUUUUUCUAUAACAACUAUAGCUUUUCAACUUUCUUAUCUCAAAUAAUGUCAUAUCAAGAAUCUAUUUUACUGGACCUAAAUCCUUCAUGUCAAAGGACUUAGAUAAUUAUUCUUUUAACCUAUAAACCAUACCAACAUCUUGUCCCACAAUCAACAUAUCAUCAACAUAUAAUAAGAGAAUAAUGAAGUUACCAUCAAAAAUUUUUUUUACAUACACACAAGGAUGUACUACCAUUUUUUUAUAGUUAUGGCUCACCAUAAAAGAAUCAAACUUUUUGUAUCACUGUCGUAGAGCUUAUUUCAAGCCAUAUAAGCUUUUUUUUUAUUUGUAAACUAAGUGCUAUUUCCCUUUCACUUCAAAACCCUUAAGUUGAUUCAUAUAAAUGUCCUUUUGUAAGUCAUCAUGUAAGAAUACAGUCUUGACAUCAAAUUGCUUAAGGUUAAGAUUCACACUAGCCAUUAAUCUCAAUACCACUCAAAUGGAACUUAUCUUCAUAACUAGAGAGAAAUUCUCAUCAAAAUUGAUACUUAAUUUUUAAGAAACAUCUUUCACCACUAAUUGAGCUUUGUACCUUACUAGCUUAUCACCAUCUUUUUUCAACUUGAACACUUAUUUAUUUUUCAACGACCUUUUUUCUUUCAAAAGUUUAACAAGAUCAUAUGUAUUAUUUUUUCGUAAUAACUCUAUCUCUUCUUUCAUUGCUUUUAAUUAGUGCUUUCUAUCCGGAGUAGCCUGUACGUCUUGGAAGCUUUUUGGCUCCCCAUCACUGGUAACUAAAAUAAAAUCUAAAUUUGGAUACUUAGUAGAUGGCCUAUACUCUCUAGUAGAUCUUUUAGGCUAAAACACUACCACACCCGGUGUCGAAGGUAGCUUCCCCUGCUCAACACUCUUAGUUAGAAAGGAUUGCUUCCCUGACUCAAAACUGAUUACAUAUGGCUCAUCACUAAUUGUGACUGGCUCAUUCAUAUCGUUACGUUCUAUUUUUUGCUCAUUUUCACUAUCUGUGGCUCUUUCCUAUGAAACUCUUAUUGUUAUUGAAAUAUCACACUCAAUAAUAACUUAUGUAGUCUUCUCAUUUUUCUUAAGAUUUAUUAUGAUUUUUUUUCAUGAAAGACCACAUCUAUGUUUUUGAUUAUCUUUCUCUUCACUGGAUCCUAUACCUUAUAGCUAAAUUUCUCAUUACUAUAUCCUAUAAACACACAUUGUGUGACUUUACUGUCAAGCUUUGACCUUUACUUUUUUGGCACAUACAUGAAUGCUUUACACCCAAAAACUUUCAAAUGAGAGUAUAAAGCAUCUUUUCUUGUCCACAAUCUUUUUAAAAUGUCAAGCGCAAAAGAAUUGAUGGUGAUCUAUUAAGUAAAUAACAAACUGUGUUGAUUGUUUCACCCCAAAAUAGCUUUGAUAAUUUUAUCAUCCUCAACAUACAUUUGACUUUUUCUAUAAUAGUGCAGUUCAUCUUUUCAACUAUACUAUUAUGUUGUAGUGUUUCAGGUUCCGUUAUCUUAUGCCUGAUCUCAUGCUUUGAACAGUACUUUUCAAAGUCUUUGGAUGUGUGUUUUCCACCAUUAUCAGUCCGACUACACUUCAAGGGUAACCUUGUCAUCCUUUUCACCAUGGCAUAAAAUUUUUAAAAGUACUACAAUACUUGGCUUUUUUUUUCAACAUAAAUACUUAAGUCUUAUAUGAAGCAUCAUCAAUAAAAGUAACAAAAUACUUACUACCACCAAAUGACUCAACGUUAAUGGAACCACAUAUGUCAAAAAAAUCAAUUUCAAUCUAUUUUUUUCUCUUAAAACUUUUACAAAAAGAAACUUUACGAUACUUACCAAACAAACAAUGAUCACAUGAAUCAAGAAACAUACUUUUAGUCAAGGGAAUAAAAGACUGUCUUACGAAAUCCUGUAAUCCCUUCUCACUCAUGUGUGCCAAUCUCUUGUGCCACAAGUUACCGAAGCAUCAUCCUCAAUGGCAUUAUCUGGUUACUCUUUAAUUGCAUCCAUUUCUUAUACAUUAUGCAACAUAGUUUUUUUUUUUACAAUUACCAUAGAUCUUUUGAAAAGCUUUCACUGUUUAUUCUUUUAUCAAGUCUCAUAUCCCUCUUUAUCAAAGACAUUAAUAGCAAGCAAGUUUAUUCUCAUAUCCAAAAUGUGUCUGAUAUUCUUUAAAGUCAACAUGUAACCUGUACUAGUUUGUACAACAAUAUCACUAAUCUCAAUAAUCUGUGUUACAUUCUUAUUUUUCAUCUCAGUGUAACCAAAGUCUCUUGCUUUGUAAGUUGUAAAAAACUCUCUUUUAGAAACAUAAUGAUAUGUCGCUUCUGUAUUAACUAUGCACUUAGUGCCAAGAUCACUAACUUGAUUACAAUCACCAUGUGCACAAAUCAAAAUAAUUGAAUCACUAUCUGAAUUCACUACUGCAACAUUGCCAUCAUCUGAACUCUUACCUUUCUCAUCUUUUAGCUCUUGCUUUAAGAUUUUACAAUGUUGUUUUGUAUAACCUGCUUUACCACAAUGAAAACACUUCACUUUAUCUCUAGACUUAGAUCUAUGUUUAGACUUAUUAUGGUUUUUUGAGUUUUAACCUUUAUAGAUGUUUCUACCCUUAUUCUUUAUGACCAGAGCUUGAUUCCCAGGGUUUAAUCUUUUCACCUUGUUUUUUUAUUAAGCAUAUUGUCCUUUACUAUCUCUAAUGUCACCCAGUAAUUAGGAGCUCAAUUAAAAAUAAUCACAACUAGAGUAUUUUAAUUGUCUAGCAAUGAACCCAAAAGAAAUAAUACCUUUAUUUCAUUAUCCAUUUUAAGCUUCAUACCAGUCAUUCGAUUAAAUAUAUCUUAAAAAUCACUCAAGUGCUCUAUAAUCGAUCGUCCAUUCUGAUACUAUAAAGUUACAAUUUUUUUAACAAUUAUAACUUUAUUCAUACUUUUUUUCUCUCAUACAAUACUGUUAAUUUUUUUCAAAUAGUGUAUGCAUCUAUCUCUUAUGCUAUAUGAUGAAACAUGCUGUUAUCAACUCAUUUUUUUAUUGUAGCCAGCGUUUUUCUACCUAACUUCUUUCAGCUUUUAUAUUUCAUAUUUGCUAGUUUAGUCAAAUCACCCAAUAUUUGCUCAUACAAAUCUUUACAAUAUAAAUGAUCUUUUAUCAUAGGCUUUCAAAUUGAAUAAUUUGAUGUUAUCAAUUUUAUCAUGAAACAUGUAUCAUCCUUAUGAUCUCAAACCAAAUUUACUUCUAUCUUAGGCUACUUCUGUAUUAAUGCCUCAAAAUAACCCUUGCUUCAAUACCAUUUGUUAGGCUUGAAGCAAUAAACACAACACAUAAGCAAUAUAUCGCAAUAAACCCAUAAUAAUAGACAACAAUCAAUAAGAAAAAAAUAUAAGAAAAAAAAGCACAUCAAGAUUUACGUAAAAAAUCCUCUAAUGUAAAAAAAAUCACAUACCACCAAAAAAAACUUUACUAUCAAAUAAUGGAUAUACAAAGUUCUUCUCUAGCUAAAACUAGAGCUAAUCAAUAACUAGAGAGACAAUUAGAUAAAUCUCACCAAAUAAGUGACUCAACAAAUACACACUAGAUUUGUUCCUAGAGAGCUUCAAACCUGAUUUUCACUUUUUAGAAUGUAAAAUUCUGAAUCAUAAACCUACUGAUAAAAUUUUAGCUCAAUCGAACCAUGGAUCAACUUUCGUUUAACCAAUUCUCCCUUUUUUUUGUUUUCUCUUUAUUUUUUUGGCUUUUCUUCUUUCUUUUCUUGGUUUGUGACACCAUUUUAAAAUAGUCUCACCUCUUUUUAUUAAGUAGCGAGGGUUUUAUGUAAAAAAAAAAACCAAAGCUUAUGGCCUUUGAUUAGUCCAAAACCAGUUACAUGGGGCUAAACCCAUUUUCCUAACAGUAGCAAAAUAAUAUGGUAAAAAGGAUAUGACAUAGACAACUUUCAUUAGAAUGUUCCAGAAAACUAAAAGUUAUUAACCUCAAAUGUUUUCCUGAGACAUCAACUAUUUUUCCAUAUUGGCUCCUUCAGUCAUUACCAAAUCUUGAAAAGUAUGUCAUAAAUAAAGCUUUCUUCUGUCAAAUAUUCCAAUUUGAAAGGAUCAAUGAUGAUGAAAGACAUACAUCAGUAUUCACUCAGAUAAAGCAAUUGAGGUUGUCUAAACUUUCAGAGUUAACACAUCUCUAAAAGGAAAAAUUCAAUCCUAAAGCAACUUUAUGUAACAUAAGAAUUUUUAAAGUGCUAGAAUGUGGAAAAUUAAAGACUUUAGUGCCAUCAUCGUUGUCUUUUGAAAACUUAACAACUCUGGAAGUUUCAAGAUGUCAUAGAUUCAUGAAUUCAUGCUCAAUAACUACGAGCCUUAUGCGACUAGAAAGAAUGAGUAUAACUUAUUGCAAAUGAUAAAGGAAAUCAUAGCAUGUGAGGAUGAAGAAAAAAAGUGACAUUGUUUUCACCAAACUGAAGUAUUUGCGACUAAAUUGUCUACCACGUCUAGUAAGCUUUUGCUUAUUGGAUCACGCCUUGGAAUUCCUAACCUUGGGAAAAAGGUUGUAAGAGAGUGCCUAAAAUUGAAGAAUUUUUAUUAUAAGGAUUUAAGCACACCAAAGCUGCAACUAGUGCAAUUGACAAGAGAUGAAAAUGAAGUAAAAUUGUGGUGGGAAGUUAACCAUAAAACUACUAUAAAAUAGCUAUUUGACGAAAUGGUAUGCAUCAAUUUAAAGGAUUUUCUUAUGGUAUUCUUUUAGCCAAUGCAAUUCACUAAGAUGAAAUGGCAAAAAAUGAGUAUAAUCUGACGCUAUAAACAUAAAGCAUUUAAUGUUUUAUUUUUAAUAUUUUAAAUGAUUGUACAAUGUUAUUUGGUGCCUUUUCAAACAUAGCUAAUUGAUCAAUUUUUAGUUUUACCAUUCUAUGUUGUUGUUUCUUAUGAUCACAAAAUGUCUAUAAUUUUAAAGUGACUGAGGUUACCCUUCAAUCACCAAAGCUAGAAUAGGGUAAUAUGUUUUGGUGCUUGUGAAACAGUCUCAGUUUCCUUUAAAUUCAAAUCUAAUGGAAUGUAAGUACCUAUUUUACUUUUGUAACUCUUUAGUUGUCUACUUUAUUUCGCUUUAUCAUGGCACAAUUUCUUUAUGGAGUAAUGGUGGAGAUGCGUUCUGAUCAUUGUAUGUUGAAUAGUUCUACUGAAGUAUGAGACCGCCACUUUCCUUUGAACCCAAAAGGUUAUUCUACUUCUUACAAAUGUUUUAUUUGAACUGUUGCAUUUUAUAUUGUAACUUCAAUUCUUAGGAUUGAAUUACAAGUGCAUCAUGCAUGGCACUGUAAACUACAAACAUUUAUUUUUUUACUUGUAAAAUCAAUCAGCUUAAGACUCCUCUAUUUAAAUAUUACCAAAAAGUUAUCCUUCAAGGUGGAUGGAUUUGCCAAUAUGUUAUGGAUAUCAAGUCUCUCAUCAUAUUCUUUUACUGGUAUUCUCGUAUUAUACGACAGAUUGGUAUAUUCUUUUACUUUUUGCUAUUUGUCUCUUAUUAUUACUAUAACAAUUUACAUUCCUUAAUCCUUUUUUCCAUAUUUGAUGCCAAUAUUUGAUUUAUGACUAAUCUAGGAGCAAAAAAAUUAUGAAUGUUUGUUCGUAGUUUUUAGAUCUUGUUUUUACUUAUUCUAAACUCUGUUGCCAAUUUUUUAAUAGUAAAAUUGCUCAUAACAAAAUUACCAGAUUGAGGUUUUUGAAUUAAAAAAAGCUAUUUCAACUAUAUAUUGGAAUGACUUAUUUUAGUUAAUGAUUAAUACUAAAAUUAAAACUAGAUUUUUUAUAGGUGUUUAUGUACAGAUACAAAGCAAAACUAAGAUCAAACUUGGCACCUUGCCUAUGAGAAAUUUUGGAGUCCCCCUCAUCAUAAAGACACUUAAUGAUAAAGAUUAUUCUCUUUUAGUUGAGAAAAUCAUCAAGUACGAACAAGUGGACCUCCAAGCACCUAUCCUAUGUCGAGAGGCUUUAACUUAUCCAAUCAAUUCUCUUUGGUAUGCAAAACCUAUAGUAUUGUGAAUUCAUUCUUCCUCAAUAAGCGAUAAAAAAGAGGGUCUCAAAUUUGUUCUACUUUAUUUUGAAAGUGCCUUAGAUUAGUUGGGAUUUCAUUUGUCACUCAUAGUACUAGGGUGGUCAUGGUUUGAAAAAUCUUAGGGAGUAAAAUCGAGCAUGUAUCUUAAAUAAUAUCUGUAUUCUCUUUAGAAAAUAUGGUUCCUUAUGAGUUGAAUAGAUUUCCACUUUUAUGCUUAAGGUGAAAAUAUUCUAGAAUGUAAAAUCUUCCCAAAAAAAAGUUGGAAUUGGAGAAAGCUUUUACAGCAAUAAUUGUCUUAGGCCAAAGGUUCACUGAAUUUCACACUAGACUAGCAUGGCUAAUAUUGAGGAACAAACAAGCCAAAGUCAACUGGCAGAGGUUUGUUUGGUUCCCUUUUCAUGUUAUAGGCAUCAUCGUUUGGGUGGCUAUUUUAAAUAGGUUCCCAACCACUAUGGACUACAAAACUAGGGAGAUCUCUGUAACUAAUAGGACCUAUUUAUUGUGCAAUGUUGAUAUAAAGUGAAGGAACCAUUUUUUUUUCUUAUAUGCCUUCUUCAAGGGUUUAUGGCAGAUGACUCUUUAUAAAUUUGAUCUUCCAAGAAAUGAAAAGAUAUUUUGUUAGUUCUUUUAACUUGAUUUAGUGUUUUCCUCAAUAAUAUUUAACAUAAUUUAUCAUCUGAUAGCACUGCUUCAUAUAAAUGGAAAUUGUUGAUUUUUUAUCAUCGAAAUUAACUAAUAAAUAAAUGUAUUAUUAUUUUUUGUUAAAUAUUUUACCUUAAUUUGGAUUCAAAUUAUUUUUGGAUAAUUGUAAAUUUAGUUCAUUUUCAGAUUUGAAUUGUCGAUUUUUGUUUUUGUCAAAUCGAACGAAUAAAGUGACAUUUUUAGGUUUAGAUCAGUUUUGACAACUCUAAAGAAAGUGAUACAAGGUUGGGUCUAAAUUUCAUUAGGCAUCCGUUUUCAAGCAUAUUGACAUUAAAUCUCAUUCAUCAUCUUCAUGUCAUGCUUAUUGUUUAGCACAUAAUAUAUGAAGAAGCAUAUUAAUUUAACAAUUAAUCAACAUGCAGUAUUAAAUAACCAAAAUAGUAAUUGAAUUAAGUUUGAUAAAAAUUAUAAAGAUUAAGACAACUAUAUGGUACAAAAAAGUUUAUUUAAACCUUCGAAAGAUUUGAAACAACUACUAAACAUGGAGGUGAAAUAAUCUUACAUUGAUAUAAACCAAGAGCUUUGUUGAAGGAAUUUUAUACUAUAUGAAUCUUGACUUGAAAGAUUAUCAAAGAAAGAAUGAUACUUUCAAGUUGUGAGUGAGUAGAAGCAAAAUGAGUCAUUUUUGUCUCAAAAGUUUAGACCAUAAAUGUUAUUAUUGGUUCCUCUACUAUCACGAUUGUCAUUUUGGAAAAAGAUGCACCUUUACUAAUGAACAACAUAUUCUUUCCCAAACUUCAUAUUGGUUCCCAUAUCUUACUUGUCAAGUUCAACUUUAAAACAUGAAUCUUUUGAUCAGCCAUUGUAAUGAAACAACUAACAAUUCUUAUUCGUUUUCCAUUAGAGAUGCUUAAACAAUUGAAUUGAUACGGAGUGAUGGAUAAGUGAUCAUUUUAUAGGUAUCCCAACUAUUUUGUAUGUCUUUUAGAUCAAAUACUCCCAAGUUUCCCUUGACAUUCAAACAAUAGCGCAAUCUUUUAUACAAAAUUAGAUUGAAAACAGAUAACCAAAACUUUACGUCACACAAAAAAUUAUGUAUUUUUCAAUUACCUUCUCCUACUUUAUGAAAAAAAAUGGAGACCGAAUAAAACCAUCCUUUGAUUCCUAAAACCAAAUAAUUUGGGGUAGGUGGAGAAGUAAAGAACAUUGAAUGCACCCAUUCCAAGGGAAGCAACUCAGAAAGUUCAAUAAUAUCUUUUUGUCAAACGAUUGAAAAGAAAUAGACGUGCCUCAUCUCAAGUCAUUAGUAGUAAGACGUACUUUGAAAAAUAGAUUUUAGCACCUAAUACUUUUACUUUAAGGUCCAACUAGCAAGUGUAAUUAUGUGUAGGGUGAAAAAAUUGGCCUCAGUGAAUAUUGUAUUUGAGGAUUUGGAACAACCAUGAAAAUAGAAAAUUCGCAGCAUGAUUGAAUAAAGAAAGAUGUGGCUUUUAUUUUUCUUCUAUUCUCAAUUGACAUAAGGCAAAGUGAAAUUUCAACAACUAGCUUAAAAACUUAAGCAACAAGGUUGAAAGAAUUUAACAAUCAUCAAAACACAUCAUGCACUUUGGAAGCAUCAUUACAUGAGCCUUAUAAAGCUACCUAAUUUGUUCAUCUUUGCUCUCCAAUUCACUUAAACUCCUAAAUUAUAGUUCAUGCCAAAUAUACCUGCAACCAAAGCACUAAUUGCCACACAAAAUAUCCCAACCUGAAAAAGUAGCCCACCUCUACUUACCUUAAGCCUUCGAGAGCUUAAGUUAAGCAACAAGGUUACUAGAAUACUUGGCUUGAUUUUUAAUUGUUAAGUUUUUUUUUCCUUUUUACUAAUUCUUUAUUUUGUUGGUAAAUCAAAAGAUAUAGGAAAGAAAUUAGAAAGGAUUACAUAGAUUGUGAAAGCAAUCCGUAAUAAUGAAGAAAGAAAAUUUCCAUGAUAUAGGAUUGAUGGUAAUCAAUUAAGAUGCAUAAUCUUCAAUUGUUGGUUAUUAAGAUUAAUAAUAAAUACUAAUAGAUUGUUAGGAUUUUAAUAGGAGUUAUGCUUUCUGUUUAAUAAAAAAGCUACAAAUAAAUAAUCCCAACAGUACAAAUCAAGCAGUGAUACAUAUAAAAAAAUAAGUUGAUAAUGAUCAUAAUAAUAUUCAAUUUCGUAACAAUGCAAAUUAGGCAGCAAAUCUAAAAAAACAAAAUUAGGGUUGAUAGGAAUAAUUCAUAAUAAGUGAUUAGAAGAUAUAGAUAUAUGGCUUCUCAUUUAAAAACAUAAUAUCUUCAAUGUUUUCUUUGAUCCCUCAAUUAAUUUCACUUAUCAAUAUAAAAAAUAUAUAAUAUAUAAGAUUAUGUAUAUAUGUGAGGUUAUUGUUGGGUUUUAGUAGGUAAUUAAUUAGAAUUCUUUUUGAAUUUAAAUUUUAAAAUGAGAUAGUGUACCUCACUUAAACUUUUAUUUAAAAAAUGCUUAAGAUGAUGUGUCAUUUGAUCUUAGAAAUUGCUUAGUUGGCAAGAGAAUAGUUCAACUCAAAUGGGAAAGUACUAGUUGACAGUUAAAGUGAAGUUUGUAAGAAGCAACUUCUGUACUAUGCACAAAAAUUUGUUGUGGAUAUAAAUCAUUGUUAGCCAUAUGUAUUUUUAUAAUUAAAAAAUGGUUUAAGUUGAGAAGUGUUGAACAUUAAAAAAAAUAUUGUUUUUAAGAGGAUAGCGGCAUGGGGAUAAUAUUUGAGAAUAAUACAAGUAAUUAAAGAAAGAUGAUUAAAAUAUUAUAAAUUUGUAAAUUGUGUAAAUAGUCCUAAUAAUGAUUUAUGAUUUAAAAAUUAAAAAUAUUCGUUAUGAUUGACAAAGCUAUAAGGAAUAUUAAGAUUACAAAGAUUAUUUUUAAUUUUUUGUUUUGUAUAAUAUAUUUUCAUUUUUAUUUUUAAAUAAUAUCUAGUUAUUUUUUAAUAAAUUAAAAAUGUAAAACUAAAAAAAUUAAGUGUUGAAUUUUAAAUUUUAAAAACCUAAAUACUAAAUUCUUACUAUAAAAAUCAUUUGAUAUUUUAUUAAAAAUUAAAUAAUAAAUAGAUGCACUGCUGAUUUGUUAUUAAAUAUUCAUCUUAAUGAAAUUUAGAAAAGAAAAUUAAAUAUUAAAAUAAAAAUAAUAUAAAAUAAAUGUAAUUAAAUGAUAAAUUAUUCCUUUCUCAAAUAAGAAUAAUUAAAAUCAUUCAUUAACUUAUAACUACUUAAAAUUUUCAAAACAUUUUUCAUUGAAAAUCUUUUAUGUAAGUUUUUUUUUCAAAUGAGUUAUCAAUUUUAUUGAAAAAACUUGAAUCAUUAAAAUUUUUUAUAAUUUACAUACACCUUUUUGGAAAUAAUAAAAGAAUCAAUAAUUAGUAUAAAAAGUUAAUCGUAACUUCAAAGUCAUUAUGAAAAAUCAUAUUUAAUUGACUUAGAUAAUAAAAAAUUAGCUACUUUAAGCUAUAUACAUAAACAAUCUAAUUUAAAAAAUUAAAUGAAUUUAAGUAUCCAAUCACAAAUAAUGUAUCAAUUUUAUCAUUUAAUCGUUUCAAAUUAUAUAUAUAUAUAUAUAUAUAUAUAUAUAUAUAUUAGAGUGAAACUUGCAUUCCACUGCACUUUUUUUUUCAUUUGAAAUUAUUAAUAUAAAAAAAAUGAAUAUGUUAUUAAUAAGUAAUAUAGACAAUUAUAUAUGGUUUUAAAAUAAGUUUUUGAGCUAAACGUGGACAAUCAACUAUUUAAAUUUUGUUAUGAAAAUUGGUGUGGUGGGUCCUAAUAAUUUUGAGUUUAUAUAUAUAUAUAUAUAUAUAUAUAUAUAUAGUUUUUAACGUUAUGAGUUUGAAAUUAAAUUAAUAAUCCUCAAAUUAUUUUUAAUACCAAAGGUAAUUUGGUUUUAAAUUAAAAAAAAAAAAGGAUAGUUUUAAUUGUAUGUAUAGACAUGUGAAAGAAAUAUAAAAGACAAAAUAUUUAACUAAAAUGUAACUAUUUAAAAAUAAAUUACUAAUAUUAAUAUUUUUUAUAUAUUAGUUGGAUUAGGGAUAAAAUCUACCUCUUUAGUAAAUGAAUCUCUAAAGAGAUUAUGUUGUGACAUCUGUCUAAAAUGAUUAGUUUACCUUUUCUAACAUAUAAAAUAAUUAUUUUAUUUUUUAACCAAAAUAAAAUAAUUUUCAAUAUAAAUAAUAAAAAUUUAAAUAUAUAUUAAAAUAAUUUUACAAAGUGAUUAUAUUCUGAUACCUUGACACUUGUUUAAUAUUAUAAAAUGAUCAUUUUAUCCUUUAAUCAAAAUAAAAUAAUCAUUUUAUCAUAAAUAAUAAAAAAAAUUCAAAAUAUAUUAAAAGAAUUUCGAAUGGGUUAUAUUUUUAAACCUAUUUAAUGUUAUAAAAUAAUCAUUUACACUUUCUAAUAUUAUAGAAUGAUUAUUUUAUCUUUUAAUCAAAAUAAAUAACCUAAAACGUAAAUAAUAAAAAAAAUGUAAAAUAUACAAAAAUUUAAAAAAUUAGAUUUAAAAAUUUUAAGUAAAAACUUAUAUUUGAAUUUAACAAUUUUAAAAUAACACCAAACAAUGAGGUGAUGAAAAAAAAAUUAUCCUGCAAGAAACCAUAGGUUAAAUACUAAUAUCAAUAAUAACAAGUUAUAUGAUCAUGUAAAUGAUGACAUGGCAUAGAUGUGGCAAUAAUAUUCCAUUUAUGGAAUAAAGAUGGAAAGUAUCCUAUAAAGAAUAAAGAUUUUAAUUAACCUUACUAUCAAAAACCACCAUACAAAAACUCUGUUUGAUAAUUAAUUUUGUUAUCUACAACAUAAAUUCAAGUUUUAUAAACAAAUAUGAUAUUAUUAUUACUACUACUACUACUACUACUACUACUACUAAUAAUAAUAAUAAUAAUAAUAAUAAUCUAUUAAGUAAUAAAAAUUAAAAAGGUUUUGACUUGGUGAAAUUUAGUUUGAUAGAUUUUUAAACUCAAAGAUAGUUAAAUUAUUAAACAUGUUAUACUAUAUAUCAUGAUUCUAGAAAGUAAUCAUGAAUCUCAUAUUAAUUGUGUAUUAGCACCGACCCUAGGAUAUAAAUGUUCAUAUUACCUUCAACUUGUGAAAUGUUUUUUGUGACAUAAAACUGUAAGACUUAAUAGGUCAAAGAAGACAAUAUCUCAUAAAUUGAUGUGAACUGUGACAUUUGUUAAAAAGAUUUUAAGAGUAUUUGUUUGUGUCACCGAGGAUGAUAAGGGUUCAUUAGAGUGGAGGACGAUGUCAUGGUCCUAAAGAGUAGUUAUAAAUCUCACAUUAGUUAUGUAUCAAAGUUAGUAUUGAGAUAUAAGUGUUUAAACCAUUUAACUUAUAAGACGCUUUUUGUAAGAUAAAAUCGUGAGACAUAAUGGAUUCAAACAGAUGAUACCUCAUAAGUUGUGUGGAUGAUGACACUGUACAUGUGGAGCUAAUAAUGGAAGGGGAAAUUUUAAUAAAAAAUUAUUAUUAGAAUCAUAUAUAUAUAUAUAUAUAUACACACAUACACUAGGUGGGGUAUUUGUGUAUUGUCAUAGAUAAAAAAAAUUUUAUUUUGUUAUCCUUAUUCAUUGAUUUUUUUUUAUAAAAUUAACCUAAUUAAAAGAAUAAAAGACAAAAAGUAAAAAAAAAAGGGGAUGAUACAUGGAUAUCUCAACCAACAUCACAUUCUUACAAAAUGUAUUUAAUAAAAAAUUUUAAAAAAUAAAAAAGACAAAAUUAAAAAAAAUUAAAAAUGAAAAAAAACUCAUAAUAAGUGUCAUAUGGACACCUUUAUUGAGUUUAAAAUAUUAAUUUCUUAAAUUAAGUUUAAAAAUAUAUGUAAUUAAAUUAAUAAUAAAAUAUAUACUUUCAUAUAUACCUCGAAAUAAGAUAAGUCAAAUCAUUCUAAACAUGCUUUCAUCUUGAUCUCAUUUUUCAUAAAAGAUUCGACAUAUUUCAAUUCAAUCUUGAUUUUAAAAAAUAAAAGAAACAAAAAUUUCUCAAUUCGUUUUUUAACAAAAUCAUUUAAAUUAAAAAUUAAAAAAGUUAACAAAAAGAAAAAGAAAAAGAAAGAAAGAAAUAUAAUGUGUCACAUUGACUCAUUGAAUAAGGGUGAAAUAAAAGUCAAAAUAAGCAAAAUUUAUAAAAUUGGUGGAUGAAUGCAUGGAUUAUAUUUUAAUUAUUUAUAAAUGUAGUAUUUUUAUCCUUAAAAAAGUUAAAAAAAAAACAAAAAAAAAAGCCUAGUUUAAAGCGGAUCUUUUUUUUUAAAUAAAAUCUAUCAAAUAUUUAUUGAAUAUUAAAAACUUUUGAUAGAAAAAAGAAAAAAUAGUAAUGUGACUUAAAUUUUGGUCAUGUAGUCCUUAAAUUUUGGUCAUGUACUAAAUGACUAAAAUUUAUUACAUGACCAAAAUUUAAGAUAUUUAUUAAAUAUUAAAAACUUGCAAAAAAAAGCCAAAAAUGGUGACAUGGCUUAAAUUUUAGUUAUGUAUUGUUCAUUUGUAUCUUAUCAAAAUUUAAGUGUUGGAUUACGUGGAUUGCCCAUGCAUUCCUAGAUAAAAUUUUUUUUAUUGUUUUGCCAUCUCUAUUUAUUGAUUUUUUUUGUUGUAAAAUUUAUCUAAUUAAAAAAAAUAAAAGGUGAAAAAUUAAAAAAAAAAAACAAACGGAGAUGUACGUGGUUAUCUCAUUUGACCUCAUAUUUUUGCAAAAUUUAUUUAAUAAAAAAUUUUAAAAAAUAAAAUAUAAAAGUAAAAAGACAAAAAUGAAAAAAAUAAAAAAAAAGUUUAAAAAUUGAAGAAGAAACUUAUAAGAAUACCACAUGGACAUUCUAUUAAGUUUAAAAUAUUAAUUUCUUAAAUUGAGUUAUAUAUAUCAAUAAAAAUUAAUAAUAAAAAAUAUAUUUUUAUUUAUACUUCGAAAUGAAUUAAUCUAAAUUAUCUUAAACACGCUAUUAUCUUGUCUUGUUUCUCACAAAAAAUUUAAUUUGUCUCAAUUUAAUUUUGAUUUAAAAAAUAAAUAAAACAAAUUUUUUCAAAUGGAUUUUUCUACAAAUUUAUUUAAAUUAAAAAAUAAAAGGUUGAAAAAAAAGAAAAAAAUAGAAAAAAACAUAAAAUGUCAUGUUGACACCUUUAACGAGGGUGAAAUAAAAAUCAAAAUAAACAAAAUUCAUAUAAAAGAUGGAUGAUUGCAUGAAUUAUAUCUUAAUUAUUUAUAAAUAUAAUAUUUUUUAAUUUAAAAAUCUAAAAAAGCUCAAAAAGAAAAUUUUGGUAUAAAGCAGGUUCUAUAUUAUAAAAAUAAAAUCUAUACAAAAUAUUUAUUAAAUAUUAAAAAAUUUUGACAAAAAGAAAAGAAAAAAUAAAAAAUGUGAGGUGACUUAAAUUUUGAUAAUUUAAUUUUUAUUCAUACAUGAUAAAAAUUUAAAUUUUAGAUUUUGUAACUUCAACAUUUAUAGUAUAUUUUUUAAAAAUAAUAAAAAAAGACACGAUAAUUCUAAUAAAAAAAGAUAAAAGGAUUGAGUUAUGAUAUCUGAUUUAACUUAAUUUAUUUAAAUUAUUGAAUUGUUCAAAAAUAGAAUCCAACUUAAUUUAUUGAUUUUUCGUUAAAGACUAAUAUCAUGAUAAUUUUUAAAUUAUAAUAAAAUUUUCAUUUGCAUUAAAUUAAAAAAUUUUUUAAUAUAAUAUAUAAAUUAUAAAUUUAUUAAUUAAUAUAAUAUUCAAAAAAUUAUUUAUUUAUAUUAACCAAAAUAAGAAUGAUAUUAUUUAAAAUUAUAUGACAAUAACUCCUUGCCAUCCAUCUCGUAUUGAUCCUAUGGUUAUCCUUUUAGUUUCCAAAUCUAACGGUCUAGAUUAUAUGAUUUUCAAAGCCUUACCUGCAUCACCAUACAACAAAAAAUGUCUAACAUGUACUUUCACAAGGGUUAGGUUAGAUAUUAGUUGUCAGACAUAAAGUCAUCGUAGGGUUUUGCUUACUUAAAGCUUGAGAUUGAAGCCUUUUCUCUUACUCUUUCUCAGAAACUCCAUUUGCCAAAAGCCAACGUCAUCUCUUUAUCUUUAUUUCUUCUGCAGAUCUCACUAAAAUUCACGAAAGUCAAGGGUAUGCACCAAAUCAGAGAUCAGAUCUCCUUUGCUUUAAUCUUCGUCAGGCCGCUUGGAUAUGUUUGCAAUCGGCGCAGAUCAAUCGAAACAAUCAAAUCAUCAAAAACAGAGCUUGGCAGAGUCAGAUCUGCAAUAUAAGAGAACUUUGGAUUGGUUACUAUAAUCAAAGAGUCUCCUCUGUUUUUGUUAAUUUUUCUAUCAGUCCUGUGGAUACAAGUUGUGUCAUAAUUAUGAUCAUGAUGUAGGUCUGGUGCUUGGUUGUUUCUCUUUAUCCUCUUAUUUUAGUUUAGGGGUAGAGUUUUAAUUAUAUUAACAAAAGUUGUAAUACAAUAUCAUGCAAUACAGGUUGAAACUGGACACACAGUUAUUGUUCAUGCUGCGGUGGGAUUGACGGGGUAUAUGAUUCUGUAGUGGCUGUUCUAUUUCCUUAUUCUCCUCUUGCACAAAGCCAAGUGAUGUAAUUGAUUUUAAUUGUGUUGAGAUCUUGUUCAGGAUUAAUUGGUAUCGAUUUUCUUUUCCCUGAUUAUUUGAUUUGCUAUAGUCAACUAGUUGAAUAGUUAUUGGUUCUUUGUUUUAGCGUUCCUACAAAUGUGAUGUUUGUUUCAUGUAGUUUGAUUUAUGGGACCUUUUGUUUUUUCAAAUUAUACGGAUUUUGUGUCGAUACAGUUGAGCUACUGCCCUUAGUUAACAUUGCAAUUUUUUUCCUCUUCCAAUCUAGUAUUUUAUCUGUUUACUUGUUAAGUGGAUUAUGUUUACUGCACACACACCAUCAAGUAAUGAUUCAAUGGAGCCCAGAAUCUAUGCUGUGAGAACUUCAAGUGUGAAGUGGUUUGAAGGGAAACCAAUUUCACUAUUUGGGAUAGAAAUUGAAAUGGUUUAGAACUUUCCUCCUUUGCAUUGAGAAAUAUAAUCUCUAGCAAGCCUUAAUUUAUUACCCACUGAACCUAUUAUCCUCUCUUUCUUUACCGUGAAAAGAAGUUGAUAAUUGAUAAUGGUUUAAACUUUGUGAAGUUACUUGUUUAUUUGAUGGUAGUAGUUAGUUCAUUGAAUGGCUCUAAAACGUCUUUUUCAACAGCCAUCUUUGUUAAAAUUAGUUUGUUCGUGCAAUUCUCUUAUCCCUACUCUUAAGUUUUAUAUCUUUUUCUAUCUAAUUUGGGUUGGAAUAGAUUGCUGCAUCUGGGCAUUUCUUAGGGAUUUUCAUUAACUCAAAUUUGUUGGCUGUCAUUUUUGUUUACCUAGUAGUUUUUAUAAACAGUUGUUCUUGCUGUAAUUAGUGUGGAAAAGUUUUGAUUUCAAAUGUGGUUUUUGAAUUGAGUAAAUCUUCAUGAGCUCUUAGUAAAGCUGGCCAUUCACAUGCUUAUGCGAUUGACUUGGACAUAUACAGCAAAAGAUGCCUUGUUUGAUGAACUUAUCUAAAUAAUAAAAAAUGUCUGGGGUAGGAAAGGCUAACCAGUCCAAGAAUUCUUUGCAGCUGAAUGAUUGUAGAAGAUCGUCGGAGGUUAGAUACUUUUCCUAUUCUUUGCCAAUAUUAAAUAGUUGAGUUCAUACUCUUUUACUUUGUGAUUAGCUUGAAUAAUUUUGACCUGGCAAUAUUUUGAUCACUUUGGAUUUGGAACUCAGGUGAAUAUGAAAGGCCUGCAUCUGGUCUCCUCUCCAUCCAUGAAUUCCUUUUAAGGUUGAUGGAUGGAAGGCACAGAAAGGGCCUCAACCUGAGAUUACUUUUUGUGCCAAGCCUUUAAGAGCAGAAACAUUUCUGGAUCCAAUGUGCGACAUCAAUUUCACAACAGGACCGUUACAAAUAAAAUAACUAAAUUGAAUGAAGUGUCCAACAAUUCUUCCCGUUAUAGCUCCAUUACUUGCAACGAUUCCUCUGCUGUUAUGUCAAAAGGAUCUAAUGCUACUAAUCCAUCUGCUAUGUUCAUCGAUUAUGCUGAAUAAGACAAGUCUACAAAGGGAAAUUCAUGAAAGGAGGCAAGAAGGAAGGGAAAACAUAAAUAGAAGCAUUUAUGUGAUGUUGGCUCCAGAGAGUCAGAAGUUUGUUAGAGUAUACCUAUGGAAGUUAAGCAUCUGAAAUCUGUGGUAACAAUGACAUGAACUCUGGAUGACAUGCAACUUUACAAGAAGUUUCACCAUCCGAUGGUUUGCUUAAUAUAACUGAUUUUGCAGGCAGCAGCAAUGGUAUUUUUACAAGUUUUCAAUCACCAAAUGUAUACACCUCUGACAUUGAUGAAGUGGAUAUACCUGAAUGUAUUGUACCUUCUCAAGUUCAGAAGCUUCCUAGGGAGCAUCAUACAAAUAACUCUGAAAUUAGUAGGGAAGACCAGUUUCUAUAGGUGGAGAGGAGACAUCCUUCACAUAUGGGUUUUCUUAUAGAUUUACAUGAGAAGGAUUUCCAUGAUAUGCAUGAUUCCCUAGUGUUGGACUCAGUUUCUGUUGGUUCAAACGGUGAAGACGGUGUUAGUGCUGGUCAUAUUGUUAAUCCAUUUAUUGGCAAUAGCAAUGAAACCUUUCAAUCAGAUUUACCAGGUUCCAAUACGAAGAAGGGGUCCUAUUGUCAAAACUUGUUAUGUAUAUUUCAAUACGAAGAAGGGGUCCUAUUGUCAAAC